rnacentral:lncRNA from 1 species
AUUCCUUUCGGUAGGCUCCGCUCCCCCGAAUUCCACCGAAUAUCCGUCUGACGGAUAUUGUCACUCCUCUGAGCAACAAGGAAAGCAACCAUUUUGAUCAUCCCGAUAAAUCCCAUGCUCUUGCUCCUGCACUUACUUAUUGCAUUAGGAUCAAAUGCUUCAAAUGCUUUUGCCACGUUAGUUGAACCCACUUCCUUUGCAUGUCCUAUCCUUGUCACAGUAAAUAGCUGAACCUUGCAACCUAGCAUGCCUGGUAGUUGCUUGAGCCAUGAUGUGCCUUAUCCUGCUAUGCAUGCUAUGCUUAGAGUUGUGUAUGGUCUGUCAUCUGGGAGAUGAACAGAAUUGUAAGAAUAUGUUCGGUAAGCAAAGGUUGUGUGUUGAAACUGAUUUGUUAAAGGUACCGGUGAAAGGCUGUGUAGGAAUACAUGGCAGGUUGUUUCAUUAGAACCGUCCUUAGGAGCUGAGUUCCGUGUAUGUAAUCCAAGACUAGAUACUACAACACGUUGGGAUACUUAAUUGACCCUCUCGACUUAUUAAUCGCUUAGUACUCGAUCCAGGAGUUGCAAGUAGUUUCUGGUGUUUAUAGUCAUGCUGGAGGCCGUGCAUAGCGCUGACCUGAGAGGUGUGCUGUGAUGCGGUAGGCAAUGGCACGGUGUACCAAGUGACAUCCGGAUGGUGGGCUUGGGAACCCUGCGCACAUCGUUUGGGGCCANNNNNNNNNNUACCUGAGAGGUGGGCUGUGAUGCGAUAGGCAGUGGCACGGUGUAUCAAAUGGCACCCGGAUGGUGGGCUUGGGAACCCUGCGCACAUCGUUUGGGGCCGUGGCGGAAACCUCAGCCGGACUUCCGUGCGGGUUAUCCUCAGAUAGGCGAUAGACCUGGACUAGGUACUAAUGUGGUUAACGGUCGUGGCCGACUCCCUCGCUGGGCUUCCGCUUGAAGGUUGCCAAGGUGCAUGACGUGCACAUGGCGAUAAGUAGCGAGAACGUGCGUGACGAAAUACACUCCUGAAGGGUUAUGAUCUAUUCGAAUAGCCGCGUCCGCGGAUAUGGACUACUUGGAGACAUAUGUUGUUCAUAGAUAACUUUAAUGGUUACUCAUAAAAUUGUCAAGAUAAACGUGAGUGUCGUUGACGGCAUUACCAUAUGGAGACGGAAUGAUUCCACGAUGGAGUAUUGUUGUGGUGUUAGUGGACUCGUGUGCGAGAAAUCAAGUUGUCGAAAUUAUUUAAAAAUGCAAGUUGUCUAGCCACGAGUCAAAUGUUGGCGUUCCGCAGGAAACCCCACAAUACCUUAUUGAUACAUUGCAUGAGUAGAUAGUUAUCUCGAAGUCUUGCUGAGUACCUCCGUACUCAUGUUUGCUUAAUAAAUGUUGCAGAGGUUGCUAAUGACCCUAAUGGAGGGUUCUUCAUAGAAAUCGACGACGACGAGUAGCUGGUGUCCCAGCUACGAUCUGGCCCUAGGUUGGGUCUGUAGUAUAGUCAGGCUAUGUGCCUUCUAGUUUCACUUGUCUGUACUCAGACAGUUUUAAACACUUCCGCUGGCUUGUAACUGAAUGACUGCUAUUAUGGGUCGUGAGACCCUUACUGUGUAAUAUUAUGUGUGUGGCUCUUCCGAGCCACUUAAAUAAAGCUUGUAUGUUUAUGGUUAUGUUGUGAUGCCAUCGAUGUAUCUAUACGUNNNNNNNNNNGCUUAAAUAAAACUUGUAUGUUUAUGGUUAUGUUGUGAUGCCAUCGAUGUAUCUAUACAUAUCGGUAUGCCAUGCGUACGUGUGUCGUACUUGAUAUGUAUGGGGUUCGAUUACCUAGCCGUAAACUUUAGUAGCUCUCCUUACAGGGAAAUGCCCCUUUGUGAUCCAACGAGCCAUAGUAGCUCGCUACUGCUCCGGACACAUUGGUUGACCGGCGUGUGUCCUUCAUAGCUGUUGUGUCUGUUUCCUUUGGGGAAAUGUCACGCGAUGUAAUGGAGUCCUUGUAGCUGGCUACGACUCGUCUACAUUCGCCGGUGACCGACACCUGCCUUGCUGGGUCAUGUAUGCCUGUCCCUGUGCGGAAUUGCCACUUUGGUUUAUGACUAGACAUGUCGAUCCGGGUUCUUUGUCAUUGGACUGCUAGCGACACAAUUGCAUACGUGAGUCAAAAGGCGCAAACGGUCCCGGCUAAGGUAAGGCUGCAGCCGUGGGGUUAACCGUGCGUGAGACNNNNNNNNNNNNNNNNNNNNNNNNNNNNNNNNNNNNNNNNNNNNNNNNNNNNNNNNNNNNNNNNNNNNNNNNNNNNNNNNNNNNNNNNNNNNNNNNNNNNUCGGUGACCGACACCUGCCUUGCUGGGUCAUGUAUACCUGUCCCUGUGCGGAAUUGCCACUUUGAUUUAUGACUAGACAUGUCGAUCCGGGUUCUUUGUCAUUGGACUGUUAGCGACACAAUUGCAUACGUGAGUCAAAAGGCGCAAACGAUCCCGGCUAAGGUAAGGCUGCAGCCGUGGGGUUAACCGUGCGUGAGACCGCAAAUGGAUGCGAUGUGUCACAGGCUGGAUUCCUAUGGCUUAGGAUCGGGGUCCCGACACAAGGAAUAGAGAAAUGUAAUUAGGAUUAGUAAGGAAAACAUUUUUUGAUCCAUCAAUCAAUGUAAUGACACAACAAUAGUAGCACCUAGAGUGAUAGCAUGAUAGAUAGAUGGGCAUCUUGACUUAAAAAACUAUUCCAUAGUUGGCUUUGUUUUGUCUCCAAUGAUUACUCACAAAUUAGACUCACAUCUGACAUACGCAAGUAAGCAAAAAUGUUUGCAUGGCUGAAACUAAGAAUUCAAACUAUAUACAUAAUACAUGGAUUUGUGCAAUCUGAAUAACAAAAAUGCAAUAUAGAGUAGGCGGGUUGACAUACUUGCUACUUCCUCUUGCUGCUCAUUCUGAUUAGAUACGGCAGAUUGUAUAACUUUGUAAUCCAAUAUGCUUUGUCAAACCUUUCGACUUUUCGCCUUCGAAGAAACAUUGUCCGGAAUUGGAGGAUUCUAUAUUUUAUAUCCUUGAUCUUAGAAAAUAUAUGUGAGUGGACCUGAAUGUGGAUGUAUAACAGAAAUAUGAAAUAACAAAAAAUGCAAUGAUGCAUACUUACAUGCAAGACAACAUUAAUUAUCUUUCCAACUUCUAAAAGACAAUAUAUUAAUACAACCAUGUCUGAUCUCAACUGACUAGAAAUUCAUUGAUAUGAAGCUUGUUAGGAAAGAAUCAGAUGAUUAGUUUUUUAGGACAAAUGACCAAGUUUUAUAGAACUGACAUGUAAUACACAUUACAGGAGAUGUUAGUUCACCUGCGAUUUUUUAAUAAAUUGGGUGGCACAACUGGAAAUAUUCACACUUCACAGAUUAGUAGAUUAUCUAGUUUGUAGUGCUCAUAAGCCCAAUUACAAUUAACCAUAAUAUUAGGACAUGAGUAGCAACUAUAACAUUAAAAAUGUAGGUUUUACCAGAGAUUAUUUGUAGCAUGGAAUUACCUCAUAUAUACAGAAUUGUGUUGUCAAAAGAUCAAGACACAUCUUAAUUUUUGCAUUCUUAUUGAAAACACGACGUCUCUUUCUUCUAGUACUCACACCGAAACAUGCCAUAAUAUUUCACCUUACAAAUUUCCAUCUAGUCAUAGAAACAAAACAAUCUGGCAUUGUAAAUUGUACAAAUAAGAUCACUACCUUAAAUGUUAAAUUAGCAGACAAAAAAUUGGCUUUGCUGCUAGGAUAAUUCUUAGUGUGAAUCAAUGUUAACCAAUCUGACGUCCGAGCUCACCGAUCACAUUCGCCAUCAUGGCCCGUCUCAACGCGAGUAAUUUCCAGAAUGGGGCGACGAUGACAAUGACGUAGAGAGAUAUCAAAUCUUCUUUGACAUGAUCCUGUACAAAGCAAAUUCCAUCUAUUUUAAUCGAAUAGCAAUGAAUUAAUGUACACAAUAGUUAGCUAGCUAACCAUAAGAUUCAGCAGUUCUGGCUAUAUAGAUCACACUACACACGCACACUGAAUCGCUGGAUUGAUUACAGGCUUAGUACUACUCGGACAUAUACAAAGUACGUCCAACACACGACUGUAUAGACUAUACAUAUAUUAACAUGCAUCUAUGGCGUGCACAAUGUUUAUUCUAUGAACAUGAAUCAAAGCCCGUCAUCUACGAUAGAAAGUGCUUCUAAUCUGCAACUCAUCUUGUGAUGCCGGCGAUGGGGCUACUCCUGCUCGAACGAGCAGCAGCCAGGCGUGGGGGCACCUGAAGGCACCGUGGCCGCCCCACUAAGGACAAGCCCAACACCACUAACAUCGGAAGAGAACAAAGAUCGAAGACCUGCAGUUAUGCCAACACGAGAUGGAAAGGCCAAACGACGACUUUGGAGUUUGGACUCACCAUAUUUCAUUACAGAUAGGUCUGGUGGAGAUCUGAAGCUCCAUGAGUUCUUGGCCUCGAUGAAGGUCGCCGAUGCUGGCUUCCUGGUGAGACCGACAUCACCAGUGUGCCGGCCAAGAACUAAAAGUGUAAAGCAAUGAUAAACAUCCAACAUUUUCUCCAUGUGAAGAAGAUUCAGUUGGUUUGCCGGCAUUCACCUCGCUUAGGGUGAAGGUGGCAACCAGUUGAGUUAACACCUGCAAGUACCCAAAUGACAAUCUGAUUGCAGCACACAAAGAAAAUAAAUGAAACUCUACCUUAAGAUUUUUAUCCAAGUAUUGUGAAACAAAAAAACCUUUAUCGGUAUCGGGAAACCAGAGAUUGGGUGGGGCUUAAUACCAAACCACCUGGUGUUCAUCUCUCAAUUCAGACAGAAUGUAAGCAUAAUAAUGAGGGCAAGGAGAAACAAAUAUAUGGAGGGAGGGGUUGUACCUCAGCCGCAUCAGUCCCCAUGCCAGCCAAAUACAGAGAGGGAUGCCUUUGACCACUCGCACGUUGCCUCGAUCCAAAUCGCCGUUGCCGCUGGGAGUGUCUUCGGGAGUUGGAUGGUAGAGAUGCGGGAAAAAGUCGGGCCAGGGAGGCUGGCAGAACCUUCACUCGAUGGAGGCGACCACUAGGAGAGAGAGCACGAGGGCGUGGAGCCGGCGGUCGAGAGGUAGGACAUCGUUGGGCGACACUGUAGGGACAGUACGGUGUCGGGUGAUGCUGCAGAGGCAGGGCGGCGUGGGGCGUCGGCGGGACGGCGUGGGAAUCGACCGCCGAUAGCCCCCGGCAGCAUGCCGCGGCGAUGGGGGCGUGGGGAACGAAAGAAGCUAGGGAUUUGGUGCGCGAGGAUGAAUGGAUCGUGGGCGGCGACGUUCUUGCGACUUUGGGGAAAAAGCUUCGCGGGUUGGGCCACAUAUUGGCGCUAAACUUUUUGCUAUUCGCGUGUGAGGUCCGUCGAACAGUUGGUGCCGUGAUGUUGACCAUAGGAAUUACUUUUUAUUUGAUACUUUGAUCUUAUUUUUCAGGAUUUAGAUAUUACAUAUGCAUCGAUGUAUUUCUUGGAAUUUAAAACGAACAUUUUAUUUAGUCUCUUUUAAUUUUAAAAAAUAUAUAUAUCCAGAACUUCCUCCACUUAUUUGGGAUGAAUCUCUUAUGAAGCCGACACUUUUCACUGUAUCCUCGCUCUUACAAAAUUUCCUAUAUGAGGCAAACUGCAUCAAUUAGGAGAGGAAACACAUAGACAACGAGCGAACUGACGAGUCACUUUUAAUUGUAUGCAAAGCUUUCCUAAACUGGUUUUUCGUUUCUUGUAUAGAAUUUACUUUUUUUCGUUUUUACGUGUUCUAUUUUUUGUUUAUUUUUCUUUUCUCAUAGAAUCUAAAUUUCCAAAAAAAACUGAAAUGUUCAGGAAUUCAAAAAUUGUUCUUUUAAAAGCAAAUGUUUAGGAUUUUCAAAUAUUCUUUGAGUUUUAGUAAAAUGUUCAGGAAUUUGAAAAUUGUUCACUUCUUCACUAAAUAAAUUUCUUGAAAAAAUACCAAAAAAUGUUUGGAUAUUCAAAUUUUUGUUCACGCUUUUUGAAAAUGUUCGAGAUUUAUAAAAUGACGUUUUUAAAAACGUUCAGAUUUUUCAAUUAUGUUCGAUUACUUAAAAGAAUCACAUUAGAUAUUUUGUUCAUGUUUAAAAAAAUGUUCAAUAUAAGUGAAAAUUUGAAAUUAUGUUCGUGUUUUGGAAAAACUGUUCGGGGCGUUGCUUCUUUUUUCACAUUUGUCAUGUUAUUUAGUUCAAUAAAAGGCACGAUGCACUUUUGUCACAAGUGUCCGUCGGUUCAACUUGCAAACAGCUUGUGUUGAAUUGUUCCAGGUUCGAAACCUCACAUCAGCAAUUUUUGUUUUGUUUUUUGCAUUUAUUACGUUACCAACACAUCUGAUCACUCGGCCAGGCCCAUGAAGCGAGCCUCGUGUGCCGCUAUGGUUCGCUUAGCUUUGGGACAUUGGCCCAUUGGUUGAUGAAAAAAUGGAGAUGGCUACCGUAGUCCAACAGACCAACCUUUGUCAAGAAAUUAGUGGCAUUCGCCCAAAAAAACUUAUUAUUUUUUACCAAUGGCUACUUGGUCUGAUGGUUGGCUCCUUUUCUAUUGAGCUAUUUGUCCCUCUUUUAUUUGGAUCUAUGGCCAAAAUUUUUGUUGCCAUUUGAAUUAAGUGUCACGUUGGUCCCCUUUCGGUCUUAGUUAAAUAAUACAUCAAAGAGUAAGUAAAUAAUUUAAUCCAAACAAGCGGGUCGUAAGUGUUUUGAUAGUUAUGAUUUAUUAAUGAGUUAAUCAGAUUCUUCGCUUAUUCCCUAAGAUUUGUAACACUAGGUGUUAACAUACAUUUAUGUGUUACUACAAUCGUUUGUCGUAACACGUCUACGGCAACAAGAAUCUAAAUGUUACUGUUCUAAUAUCCUUGUAACACCUUUUCCGGUCUUACCGAGUAUGUGUUACCAUCGAAACUUGCAACACAAUGGAUGUGUUACUACAAUUUUGCUUGUAACACGUUUUGUCAUGUGUUACAUCAUUAUGUUACUUAACAUCUGUUUUCUUAUAGUGUUGUAACACAUGCAAGAACCCCUUCUUGGAUUGUUUCAUUUUGAACUUCUUCAAAACUUUAUCAAGGUAUGUGCUUUGUGAAAGUCCUAUUAGGCGCCUCGAUCUAUCUCUAUAGAUCUUAAUGCCUAAUCUUUAAGAAGCUUCUCCUAGGUCUUUCAUUAAAAAACUUGUGUUCAAGUAAUCCUUUACGCUCUUCAAAAACUCCACAUUGUUUCCAAUCAACAAUAAGUCAUCCACAUAUAAUAUUAGAAACGCUAUAGAGAUCCCACUCACUUUGUUGUAAAUACAAGCUUCUCCUACAACUUGUAUAAACCCAAACGCUUUGAUCACCUCAUCAAAGCGCUUAUUCCAACUCCGAGAUGCUUGCACUAGUCCAUAAAUGGAUCACUGGAGCUUGCACACUUUUUCAGCACUCUCUGGAUCGACAAAACCUUCAGGUUGUAUCAUAUACAACUCUUCCUUAAGAAACCCAUUAAGGAAUGCCGUUUUGACAUCCAUCUGCCAGAUUUCAUAAUUAAAAAAUGCAGCUAUUGCUAACAUGAUUCGGACGGACAUAAGCAUCGCUACGGGUGAGAAUGUCUCAUCGUAGUCAACUCCUUGAACUUGUGAAAAACCCUUUUCCACAAGUCGAGCUUUAUAAACGGUCACAUUACCUUCUGCGUCCGUCUUCUUCUUAAAGAUCCAAUAGUUCUGAAUAGCCUUGCGACCUUCAGGUAAUACUUCCAAACUCCACAAUUUUUUCAUACAUAGAUCCUAUCUCGGAUUUCAUGGCCUCUAACCAUUUGUUGGAAUCUGGGCCCACCAUUGCUUCUCCAUAACUCGCAUGCUUAUUGUUGUCUAACAACAUGAUAGACAAGACAUGAUUCCCGUACCACUCAAGAGCAGUACGUGCUCUUGUCGACCUGCUAGGCACGACAGUAACUUGAUCUGAAGCUUCAUGAUCAUCAUCAUUAGCUUCCUCUUCAACCGGUGUUGCCUCGACACAAAUUUCUUUCUGCCCUGCGCCACCAUCUUGUUGAAGCAGAGGUUCUGUAACCUCAUCAAGUUCUAUCUUCCUCCCACUCAAUUCUUUCAAGAGAAACUCUUUCUCAAGAAAAGCUCCGUUCUUAGCGACAAACAAUUUCCCUCGAAUACGAGAUAGAAGGUGCACCCAACUGUCUAUUUUGGGUAACCUAUGAAGACGCACUUUUCCGCUUUGGGUUCCAGCUUUUCAGGCUGAAGCUUUUUGACAUAAGCAUCACAUCCCCAAACUUUAAGAAACAACAACUUUCACUUCUUGCCAUACCAUAGCUCAUAUGGUGCCGUCUCAACGGAUUUUGAUGGUGUCCUAUUUAAAGUGAAUGCAGCUGUCUCUAAUGCAUAGCCCCAAAAUGAUAAUGGCAAAUCGGUAAGAGACAUCAUAGAUCGCACCAUGCAUAUCUAACAAAGUACGAUUACGACGUUCGGACACAUCAUUAUGCUGUGGUGUUCCAGGGGGUGUCAACUGUGAAACAAUUCCACAUUGUCUUAAGUGAGCACCAAACUCGUAACUCAGAUACUCUCCUCCUCGAUCAGAUCUUAGGACCUUGAUCUUCUUGCUCAUAUGAUUUUCAACUUCACUAUGAAAUUACUUAAACUUUUCAAAUGUUUCAUACUUGUGCUUCAUCAAGUAGAUAUAGCCAUACCUACUCAAAUCGUCAGUGAAGUUGAGCAAAUAACGAUAUCCGCCAUGCGCCUCUAUGCUCAUUGGUCCACACACAUCGGUAUGUAUAAUCUCCAAUAAGUCACUUGCACGCUCCAUUGCUCCAGAGAACGGAGUCUUAGUCAUCUUGCCCAUGAGGCAUGGUUCGCACGUGUCAAGUGAUUGAAAAUCAAGUGACUCCAAAAGUCCAUCAGCAUGGAGUUUCUUCAUGCACUUAACACCAAUAUGACCUAAGCGGCGGUGCCACAAGAAAGUGGCGUUAAUGUUAUUGACAUGAGUGUCAUCACAAUCGAGAUUCAAUAUGAACAAACCCCUCACAUUGGGUGCAUGACCAUAAAAGAUAUUAUUCAUAUAAAUAGAAGAACCAUUAUUCUCAGACUUAAAUGAGUAACCAUCUCGCAAUAAACAAGAUCCAAAUAUAACAUUCAUGCUCAACGCAUGCACUAAAUAACAAUUAUUUAAGUUCAUAACUAAUCCCGAUGGUAACUGAAGUGAGACCAUGCCGACAGCUUUUGCAUCAACCUUGGAACCAUUUCCCACGCGCAUCGUCACUUCAUCCUUUGCCAACCUUCAUUUAUUACGUAGUUCCUGUUUCGAGUUGCAAAUGUGAGCAAUAGAACUGUUAUAAAAUACCCAGGCACUACUACGAGAGUUGGUGAGGUACACAUCAAUAACAUGUAUAUCAAAUAUACCUUGUUUGGCGUUGGCCGCCUUCUUAUCGACCAAAUACUUGUGGCAGUUGCGCUUCAACUUACCAGUCCCCUUGCAAUAAUAGCACUCAGUUUCCUACUUAGGCCCAGCCUUGGGUUUCUUCAUCGGAGGGGCAACAGUUUUGCCACUCUUCUUGGAGUUACCCUUCUUGACUUUGCCGUUCUUCUUGAAACUAGUAGUCUUAUUGACUUAUGAUGAGUUGAUGGAUAUACUUCUCGCCCCUCGUUGGUUACCCCAAGUGGAAGGUGGCGAUGUAGUCAGCAUCAGAUUUCCCUUACACGGAGACUGUAAGGUUUAUCGAACGAGGGGGACUCCUAGGCUCAACAAGUAGGUGUCUUCCACCCUGGCGCUAGCAGAAGACAUUGACCUGCGCACACAACAAAUAACUUUGCUCCCAAGAGUACAUAGAGGUUGUCAAUCUCUCCGGCCUUGUAGUUUGCAAAGGAUCAAAACACAAGCGGGAAGGUAAUAGUGAUUGCAACGGAAAAGUAAAUGAAAGCGGUAAAUGAUGGAGGUGUAAACAAUGAUGGUGAUAUGGACCGGAGUCACAUGAUGUUCGCUAGUGAUGUCUCUCUCCGAAAAGACGAUAACCAACUAUGCUUGGGUAAAAAAAUCACAGUUGGGCAAUUGAGAGAAUUAUGAUCGCACCGCAAUGCUAAUUAUGCUACUUGAUAGUUAGAGGUUCAAUAGUAAUGGGCAGUACGCCAAGACAAGUAGACCGUUUAUUCAUUAGAAUCUACUUACUAAUCAUCCACCUUGAGAUAUCUAUCCAGAACAUCUCUCCGAUAUUAAGUUGCGAGCCCCACACAAAGUGUAAACUCAAAGCAAAGGAGAACUCCAUUAACGAACUAUGCGUAAGGUAAACAAUCGUUGCAACCGUGGUCACAAGAACCGUUGUUUUCGCCUGGUGGCAACAAUCACAUCCCCUAGUCUCAUGUUUCUGUCACUCAAGCUAGACAUCGAGGGGCAUGAACCCACAAUCAUUCAUAACGCUCCCUCUUGGCGUUACAAUCUACUAGUCGGCCAAAACAAUAAAUAGCAAUGGAGAACAUGCAUGAAUCACUAAGGAACAUGAUAUAAAAGGAUAAUCAAAUAUGUAACUCAUAACAAUCUGAACAUAAUCUCAGAAUCCAUCGGAUCCCAACAAACCAAGCAUAGCAAUAGCAAGAGAAUUACAUAGAUACCUUGAUCAUGUAGGGCAGCUCACAAGGACUAACCAUUGAAGCACAAGAUUGGAGAGAAGACAUCACAUAACUACUGGUCAUGGAAUCAUGGUCCAAGGAGGACUACCCACGACACGUCCGGGAAGCGUCCAUGGCGGUGGAGAAGCUCCCGGAGGUCAAUCCUCCCUCCAAUAGGGUGCGGGAAAGAGGUCUCCUGACGCUCCCGAUCUCGGAAGCGCUGCGGUGGAGAAACGAUGGAGAAAAUCGCGAUUCCAGAAGUUGUUGAAGGGUUUCCUCUCGGGACUCCAAAUAUAGCCCAAAGGAGGGCACCGGAGGAGGUGGGACCCACCCAGGCGGCCUCCUGGCGCGGCCUAGGGCCUGCCCGCACCAGCAUUUCGUGUGGGAGGCCCCUAGCCCCCCUCUGACCCAUCUUCAGUGAUCCGGAUGCUUCUGUUUCGCUGAUUUUUUUUAUAUUUUUCUUGAAUUUUUCGGACUUCGGAAAAUUGGGUAAAAUCCCCUGCAAAAAAACAUCAGUAGACAGAAACUGGCAGUGGGUGCACUGAGUUAGUAGGUUAGUACAAACAUGUGUAAAAUGAUAUAAAAUUGUAGCAAAACAUAUAACAAUGUCACCCAAAAGAUCAUGGAACAAGCAGAAAUUAUAGAUAUUUUUGGGACGUAUCAACAUCCCCAAGCUUAAUUUCUGCUCGUCCUUGAGUAGAUAACUUAUAACACAUAUAAGAACUUCAAAGUAAAGCAAGUGAGAUAUGCAAUUCAAGUCAAUACAACAACAAGAAAGAGUCUAUAUCUAGUAUUGAGUUUAGCAAAGUAAGAACAUAAAGGUGCAAGAGCUCUCGCUAUCCGUGACUCGAAUGUCUCCAAAUGGUGUUUGCGUGCAAGAAGUGGGAGAUGGAUUGAGAUCAUAAAAUAUUUAUUAAUUGAGAACUCAAUCUACUAAAAUUUCACACUUAGUCUCCUUCAGAAUCUUAUUUUGACUCAUCCCCAGACCACUAGUCAGGCACAAUUCAAAAUGAUCCUCUCCCUUUCGACUUUGAGAACUCAUGCAAUGGAUUAGCGUAAGAAAGAUAUUUUGGCACUUAGGAUGGCAAAUAGAAUAAUGAUGGGUAAGGAAGACAAAUAGGGUGUGAAAGGCUCACAUCAAUGAGGACAACCAUAGGCGAGAGAAAGCCAAAUAAUAGAUAUGAUGUGAGGAGUAGGGAUUGCCAUGUAACGGAUGCACAUAUGAGCUAAGGUAAGCUCUCCAAUGGAACUAGUGGGGGUGCAUCCAACUUAUUUGCUCAUGAAGACCUAGAGCUCAUUUGAGGAGGCUCAUCAUUGGAAUAUGCAAACCAAGUUCUAUAUUGUAAGGGUCCCCACAUAGUUAUGCAUGAAUGAUAAUCUCUAUGUAGUACCAAUAUAGCAAUGGAGUAAGAGUGUGGAUCUUUCAAAAGGAAUAGUAGUGUUGACCCCUUCUCUCUUUUUAUUUCUUUUUUAUCUUUUUAUCUUUUUAUUUUUUAUUUUUUUGUUGCCUCUUUAGCUCUUUAUUUUUAUCUCUCAUUUGUCCUCUUUGGGAUCUUUUGUUUUGUCCAAUUUGUGAUCUUUUCCUUACCUAAGGGCAACACUCUAUGUUUUACAUGAAUAAAAAGAAAAAUCAUCACACUUUAUAAGAAGUACUCAACAUAAAGACAAGUGAAAACUAUCAUGAUGUAUGCAAAUGUAUGCCUCUGCCAGUGUAGCAGGAUAUGCAAUGAUACUAGCACGUCAUGUAGAAGUAAUAAGGGCAAGGCCCAACUAGCAUGCAGCUCCUCGAUCAAGAAAAAGCAUGUAUGACAUGAAGAUGAAGUCAUGAGAUGGUGGAUGUCGCAUAGCAAUGUAUCUCGUAAAGGCUAUGGAAAUGCUAGUAGGUAGGUAUGGUGGCUGUUUUGAGGAAAGAUAUAAUGAGGCUUAUCUAUGACAAAGCGUAUGAUGUGAUGGUUUGGAUGCACCGGCGGAGUUUGCACCAACUCUCAAUGUGAGAAAGGGCAAUGCACAGUACCGAAGAGGCUAGCAAAAUAUGGGUGGUGGAAGUGCCAACAAUCAAAUACUCACAUUAGUCCGAAGAACUCAUACACUUAUUAUCGGUAACUCUCUGUCUAGUAAGGAAAUUCACAAAGAGACAAGUACCCCGAGGAGGAGUGUUCGGGGGUUUGGUUAUCCUUGUGCAUCCUUGACUCUUGGUAAUGUGAGGGUACUCUAUAUAUUCCAAUCCCUCCAGAGCUUAGCGAUCAAUUUGUAGCUAGAGUUCUCAACUAAUUUUUAGUUUUUGAAAAACACACGGAUUUCCCAAAAUAUGACACCUAUCACUAAUAGGCUCAAGCUCUUGGCACCAAUAGUCCAAACAUUACUCAAAUCAAUACCUCAAAACUAUUACAAGUUACUACUAUACUUAAAUAGCAACCUCAGUUACCUACUCAUGCAAGACACACAACUCAGUGCAACGAGCCAACUCUCUAAAAAAGAUAAGCAUGAUAACUCAAGAGAGUUACAGAAGCAACCUAGAUAAUAGCUCUUAAAAAGAUAAGCAUUAAAACUAAGAGCUAAGCAUGACAGUAGCUACGAAAAAGAUGAACACACAAAAGGGAUAAGCAUGAAGACCUAUGUUCUAUUCUAGAGUGGAAUGGAGCAUGUCUCUCUCGCAAACAAGGUAGGCUAGGUUCCGACUUGUUAUGAACAUCAAGCAAAACUAAAACAAACUAAAAAGUAAAGAGCGAAAUGCUCCAAGCAUAGCACAUAUCAUAUGAAGUGAUAAAAAUAUAGCAUGGAGAUGGUCAAACUAAUGAUUGUUGAUAGAGAAGGGGAUGCACGGGGACAUCUCCAAGCUUAGACGCUUGAGUAUCCUUUGAAUAUUUCUUUGGGUGCAUGGGGGCAUCACCAAGCUUGAGCGCUUGGCACUCCUGUAUUUUCUUUCAUGAUCUCGCAUCGCAUACUUGAAAACUCCCUUCAUACGGAACUCAUCAUAAGCUAAUUAGAGUGGUUAGUUCCCUUAAUAAAAUAAUGCAUUACCUGCUGGAAAUAAAGAUUUUCAUGAAAAGCUACUACUUAUUAUGAAUUCCAAAAGGUUUUUUCAAAUAAAAAGUAAGCUUAGGAUUUGCAAAACAAUGAAAACGCAAAACAUGGCAGAAUAUGUGAAAAACAGAACAAAAGGUAGUAAAUAAUUUAUUCGGGGCACUUGUGCAACUCAAAUAAAAAACUCAGAACAAAUGUCAGAAAGUAAAUUAUAUAGAGAAUGCUGUCAAAAAAUUCAGAUCAAAAUUAUGAUCUGGUGGCUUUUGGCAAGUUUUUCCGUCAAGCAGACAGAAUAUGUUUGUCGACAAAAUGUCUCAAUUUUUGAACUUUCUUGCAAUCGGAGGCUAUAAAUUGGCACAAAGAUUAAAAAUAAAGAUACAAUGAUGUUUCUACAGUAUUAACAAGCAUCAAGACCACUAAAACAGAAAGUAAAAACAAAUUGGGUUGCCUCCCCACAAGCGCUUUCUUUUAUGCCUUUGAGCUAGGCAUAAUGCAAGAAGAUCAAGUGUUAUCAACUCCAAAUAAUAACUUGCCCGAGUAUCGGACUCAUAUGGUAACUUACUCUUCUUUAUACGAAAGUGUUCCAUUCCCUUUUUAAGAGGAAACUUGAAUUUAAUAAUUCCCUCUUUCAUGUCAAUGAUAGCACCAACGGUGCGGAGAAAAGGACGUCCCAAAAUAAUUGGACAUGAAGGAUCACAUUUAGUGUCCAUAAUAAGAAAAUCAACGGACACAUAAUUAUCAUUGACAAUAAUAAGAACAUCAUCAAUUCUUCCUAAAGGUUUCUUUAUGGAAGAAUCAACAAGACGAACACCAAAAGAACAUGGAUCAUAAGGUUUCCAAUCAAGCAUAUCAUACAUUCUUUUGGGCAUAACAGAAGCACUAGCUCCAACAUCACACAAAGCAAAGAAAGAGAUAUUAUUCAAUUUUAUUUUGACCAUAGGAUCCAAACCAUAUUCUAGUUUCCUAGGAAUAGAAGGCUCAAGCUUGAGCUUCGCCUCCCUAGCUUUGAUAAGAGCAUUGGUAAUAUGCUCGGUUAAGGCAAUAUUGAGUGUACUAGUGUGGGGGUCUUUACCAUUCUUUGCAAAAAUGUGAUAACUUCAGAGAGACUACAAUUGUCAAAAUAAUGGUUACUACCAUUAAUUAAAGUGGUAGUAAUGUCAUCUAAGCUCAUUCUUUUUGUAGUCUCUAAAUUCAUAGGACUUUCUUGUCCUAUAGUUGAGGUAUUAACAUCACCAUUAAUAGGUCCAUUGGGAUUAGGAGUGCGAUGGGUGCUAAUAGUUUUGAGAUCCUCAACAACUUGUAUAGUAGCAAUGCUAGUGUCUUUAGGAAGGCUCUUAAUUCUCUCUUCUUCUUCCUUUUCUCUAGCCUAUAUAUCUUUAAGUUUGGCUAGCAUUCUUAUGUUCUCAUUAAUUUGGACUUGGAUAGCAUUCGUGGGUGUGGUGUUCAUUUCCUCAAGCGGGGAAGUUCUAAUUUUAAGCAUAUCUACAUCAUGAGCUAUGUUGUCCACCUUCAAAGAGAGACUAUCUAAUUUUUCUAGUUUCUCUUCUACACUCUUGUUGAAGGCUUUUUGGGAGGUUAUAAAAUAUUUAAGCAUGCUCUCUAAUUCAGAAGUUGAGUUUUUGGUGCUAGGAUAAUUGUUAUUGUUCCCAUAGUUGUUGGAUGGGAACGGUCUAGGAUUGCUACCAAACUUACUCCUAUAAGCAUUGUUAUUGAAGUUGUUCCUAGAAAUAAAAUUAACAUUCACUAGCUCUCGUUCUUGAGCAACCAAAAAAUUUAAAGGAACAUCAUGAGGAUCAAUGGGAGCUUUCUUUGUAAGUAGAGUCAUGAUCAUGUCAACCUUAUCAUUAGGGGAGGAGAUCUCCUCAACAGAGUUUACCUUCCUACCUGUUGGAGCUCCCUCGGUGUGCCAUUGAGAAUAAUUUGUCAUAAUCUCAUCCAAUAGCUUUGUGGCAGCACCAAGUGUAGUUGACAUAAAGGUCCCUCCCGCGAUCGAGUCUAACAGAUUCCACGAGGUAAACUUCAAUCCUGCAUAGAAAGUUUGGAUAACCAUACAAGUAGUCAAACCAUGUGUAGGGAAAUUUUUAACUAGAGAUUUUAUACGUUCCCAAGCUUGAGCAACAUGUUCAUUAUCCAAUUACCUAAAAUUCAUAAUGUUACUCGUCAACUGGAUAAUCUUAGCAGGCAGUAAUACUUCCCAAUAAAAUCAUCUUUGCACUUAUCCAAAGAAUCUAUGCUACUCCUAGGCAAAUAUUGAAGCCACACUUUAGUUCCUCCUCUCAAGGAGAAAGGAAAAAAGCUUAAGUUUAACAAUAUCACUAUCUACUUCUUUAUAUUUUUGCAUAUCACACAACUCAACAAAAUUGUUUAAGUGCAAGGCAACAUCAUCUCCAGCACCGAAGAAUUGAUCUUUCAUAACUAGGUUUAGUAAAGCAGGUUUAAUCUCAUAGGACAUGGCUCUAGUGGCGGGAGAAGCAAUAGGAGUGCAGAUAAAGUCAUUGUUGUUGUGACUAGUGAAGUCACACAACUUGGUGUUUUCAAUGGAACCCAUAGCAGCAGCAACAAGCAAGAACAAAGCAACUACUUUUUUUGUGGUUUUUGGUAUAAGACUCUAAAGCAAAGACUAAAAAGUAACUAACAAGACUAAAAAGCAAAGGUAAAAGAUAGCGUUCAACUCCCCUAUUUUGAAGACUACAGUCCUCAGCAACGGCGCCAGAAAUUUUAUGGAUGAUGAAUUGAUGGAUAUACUUCUCGCCCCUCGUUGGUUACCCCAAGUGGAAGGUNNNNNNNNNNAGAUGUAGUCAACAGCAAAUUUCCCUUACACGAAGACUGUAAGGUUUAUCUAACCAAGAGGAUUCCUAGGCUCAACAAGUAGGUGUCUUCCACCAUGGUGCUAGCAAAAGACGUGGACCUGCGCACACAACAAAUAACUUUGCUCCCAACGAGUUCAGAGAGGUUGUCAAUCUCUCUGGCCUUGCAGUUUGCAAAUGAUCAAAACACAAGCGGGAAAGUAAUAGUGAUUGCAAGGGAAAAGUAAAUGAAAGCGGUAAAUCAUGGAGGUUUAAACAAUGAUGGUGAUAUGGACCGGAGUCACAUGAUGUUCACUAUUGAUGUCUCUCUCCCAAAAGACGAUAAACAACUAUGCUUGGGUAAACAAAUAACAGUUGGGGAAUUGACAAAAUUAUGAUCGCACCGCAAUGCUAAUUAUGCUACUUGAUAGUUAGAGGUUCAAUAAUAAUGGGCAGUAUGCCAAGACAACUAGAGCGUUUAUUCAUCGACAUCUACUUACUAAUAAUCUACCUUGAGAUAUCUAUCCAGAACAUCUCUCUAGUAUUAAGUUGCGAGCCCCACCCAAAGUGUAAACUCAAAGCAACGGACAACUGCACUAACGAACUAUGCGUAAGGUAAACAAUCCUUGCAACCAUGGUCACAAGCACCGUUGUUUUCUCCCUGGUGGCAACAAGCAUACCCCCUAGUCUCAUGUUUCUGUCACUCAAGCUAGACAUCGAGGGGCAUGAACCCACAAUCAUGCAUAACGCUCCCUCUUGGAGUUACAAUCUAAUCCUCGGCCAAAGCAAUAAAUAGCAACGGAGAACAUGCACGAAUCACUAAGGAACAUAAUAUAAAAGGAUAAUCAAAUAUAUAACUCAUAACAAUUUGAACAUAAUCUCAUAAUCCGUAGGAUCCCAACAAACGGAGCAUAGCAAUAGCGAGAGAAUUAUAUAGAUGCCUUGAUCAUGUAGGGCACCUCACAAGGACUAACCAUUGAAGCACAAGAUUGGAGAGAAGACAUCACAUAGCUACUGGUCAUGGACUCAUGGUCCAAGGAGGACUACUCACGGCACGUCCGGGAAGCGUCCAUGGCGGUGGAGAAGCACCCAGAGGUCAAUUCUCCCUCCGACAGGGUCCCGGGAAGAGGUCUCCUGACGCUCCCGAUAACAGAAGCGUUGCGGCGGGGAAACGAUGGAGAAAUUUGCGAUUCCAGAAGUUAUUGAAGGGUUUCCUCUCGGGACUCUAAAUAUAGGCCUAAGGACUGCACAGGAGGAGGUGGGACCCACGUAGGCGGCCUCCUGGUGCGGCCUAGGGCCUGGUCGUGCAACCAGGUCGCCUAGGAGGCCCGUGGCCCCCCUCUGGCCCAUCUUCGGUGAUCCUGAAGCUUCUGUUUCACUGAUUUUUUAUAUAUAUUUUCCGGAUUUUUUCUUGCUUCAGAAAAUUGGGUAAAAGCCCCUGCAAAAUAGACAUCAGCACACAGAAACUCGCGCUGGGUGCACUGAGUUAGUAGGUUAGUCCAAAUAUUUGUGAAAUGAUAUAGAAGUGUAGCAAAACAUAUAACAAUGUCACCCAAAAGAUCAUGGAACAUGCAGAACUUAUAGAUACGUUUGGGACGUAUCACUGACCAUCAACACUUGAUGCUCUUUCCGGAUUUUUGACUGAGCGACUUUCAGCAUCGCAAAUAACUCGCCGGGUGCCUUGUUCAUCCCUUGCAUGUUUAUAGUUCAACAUGAAGCUCUUGUAGCUAGGUGGCAGUGAUUGAAGAAUUCUGUCAGUGAUAGCUUCUUGCGGGAGAACAAUCCCCAGCUCAGCUCGACGAUUUGAGUACGGAGAGAUUUUGAGCACAUGUUCACUGACAGACAAAUUCUCCUCCAUUUUGCAACUAUAGAAUUUAUCGGAGGUCUCAUACCUCUCGAUUCGAGCAUUCUUCUCAAAGAUAAACUUCAACUCCUGGAACAUCUCAUAUGCUCCAUGACGUUCAAAACAUCGUUGAAGUCCCAGUUCUAAGCCGUACAAAACUGCACAAUGAACUAGUGAGUAGUCACCCUUACGAGCUUGCCAAGCGUUCAAAACAACUUGGUCAGCCGUAGCGGGUGGUUCACCUCCUAGCGCUGCAUCAACAACAUAAUUCUUUUGCCCAGCUUGAAGGAUAAGCCUCAGAUUUUGAUCCCAGUCUACAAAGUUGCUACCAGCAUCUUUCACCUUAGCUUUCUCUAGGAACGUAUUGAAAUUCAGGGUUGCUACUGCACGAGCCAUUGAUCUACAACAUAAUUUUUUUGCAAAUAUUACUUAGACUAUCUUCAAGACAAUUGAGUUUAGAUAAUCAUAUUACUAAUAAACUCCCAUUGAAAUAGACAUCCCUCUAGUUAUUCGAGUGUCGCAUGAUCCAAAUUCACUAACUCAAGUCCGAUCAUCACGUGAGUUGAGCAUAGUUUCAGUGGCGAACAUCUCCAUGUUGAUCAUAUCUACUAUAUGAUUCAUGAUCGACCUUUCGGUCUCUUGUGUUCCGAGGCCAUGUAUGUACAUGCUAGGCUCGUCAAGUUUUACCCGAGUGUUCCGCCUGUGCAACUAUUUUGCACUCGUUGUAUGUGAAGGUUGCGUCUAUCACACCCGAUCAUUACGUGGUGUCUCGAAAUGACGAACUGUCGCAAUGGUGCACAGUUGGGGAGAACACAAUUUUAGUGAGGGAUCACCUUAUAAUGUUACUGUCCUUCUAAGCAAAAUAAGGUGCAUAAAAGGAUUAACAUCACAUGCAAUUCAGAAGUGACAUGAUAUGGCCAUGAUCUUGUGCUUCUUGAUCUCCAUCACCAAAGCACUGACAUGAUCUUCAUCGUCACCGGCUCCACACCAUGAUAUCCAUCAUCAUGAUCUCCAUCAUUGUGUCGCCAUCGAGAGUGUCGUGCUAUCUAUGCUAUUACUACUAAAGCUACAACCUAGCGAUAUAGUAAAGACAUCUGCAAGCACAAAUGUUAGUUUAAAGUCAACCCUAUGGCUCCUGCCGGUUGCCGUAGCAUCGACGUGCAAGUCGAUAUUUAACUAUUACAACAUGAUCAUCUCAUACAUCCAAUAUAUCACACCAUGUCUUUGGCCAUAUCACAUCACAUGCAUACCCUGCAAAAACAAGUUAGACGUACUCUAAUUUGUUGUUGCAUGUUUUACGUGGCUGCUAGCACUACUAGGGAAAACCCUAGUAGUAGCGCUGGUUUUACCCUUACUAGUAGCGCUGGGGCCAGCGCUAGUGCUAACGCGCUACUGCUAACACUUAUCAGUAGCGCUGGAUUGAAAGCGCUACUGGUACCUACGUUAGCCGUAGUGCUGGAAUAAAUAGAGCGCUACUCCUAAGCCAGCGCUCACUACUGGAAUCCGGUUCUUUGCCGUCAGCCAGUUCUUUGCCGUCUGCUGGCUGAUGGGAAAGAACCUCUUUGCCGUCAGUUGACACAAGGCAGACGACAAAGGGCUGACUGAUGGCAAACAUACUAUUUGCCAUGUGUAGGCCCUUUGCCGUCUACCAGCGGACGACAAAGAGACCCAGGGUAGACGGAAAAGAGGACGGGUGGGUCCCAUGCCUACCGUGUCUGACAGAAGGCAAACUUUGCCAUCUGGGGGCCUUUGCCGUCCGCCAUGGGGCCCUUUGCCGUCGGGGGGCGGACGGAAAAGGGGUCGACCCUAUAACGGCCGUCAACCCCCUCCUCGCUCACUGUCUCUCUCUCCCCCCCGGCCACUGUCUCUCUCCCCUCACCCACUUGCCCCCGCCGCCCUCCCUCCUUGCAGCCCCCUCCCCCUUGCAGCCCUCCUCCNNNNNNNNNNNNNNNNNNNNNNNNNNNNNNNNNNNNNNNNNNNNNNNNNNNNNNNNNNNNNNNNNNNNNNNNNNNNNNNNNNNNNNNNNNNNNNNNNNNNUGUAUAUGUGUUGAAUGGUGGGGCAGUGAGCUGGUGCAGCAGCAAGCAAGAAGUCGUGGCAGCAUCUACAUGUGAAGCGGAGUACGUAGCUGCUUCAGAAGCAGCUCAUGAAGGAAUUUGGAUGAAGGAGCUCAUCACCGACCUUGGAGUGGUUCCAAGCGCGUCGGGUCCUAUGACACUCUUCUGUGAUAACACUGGAGCCAUUGCCAUAGCCAAGGAGCCCAGGUUUCACCGGAAGACGAAGCACAUCAAGCACCGCUACAACUCCAUCCAGGACCAUGUCCAGAGUGGAGUGAUAGAUAUUUGUAAAGUACACACGGAUCUGAAUAUUGCAGACCCGUUGACUAAACCACUUCCACGAGCAAAACAUGAUCAGCACCAUAAUGCUAUGGGCGUUCAAUACAUCACAAUGUAACUAGAUUAUUGACUCUAGUGCAAGUGGAGACUGUUGGAAAUAUGCCCUAGAGGCAAUAAUAAAAUGGUUAUUAUCAUAUUUCCUUGUUCAUGAUAAUCGUCUAUCGUUCAUGCUAUAAUUGUAUUAACAGGAAACAGUAAUACAUGUGUGAAUGAAUAGAUCACAAUGUGUCCCUAGCAAGCCUCUAGUUGGCUAGCUCGUUAGUCAAUAGAUGAUCAUGGUUUCCUGAUCAUGGACAUUGGAUGUCAUUGAUAACGGGAUCACAUCAUUGGGAGAAUGAUGUGGUGGACAAGACCCAAUCCUAAGCCUAGCACUAGAUCGUAUUGUUCGUAUGCUAAUGCUUUUCUAAUGUCAAGUAUCUUUUCCUUCGACCAUGAGAUUGUGCAACUCCCGGAUACCGUAGGAGUGCUUUGGGUGUAUCAAACGUCACAACGUAACUAGGUGACUAUAAAGGUGCACUACGGGUACCUCCGAAAGUGUCUGUUGGGUUGGCACGAAUCGAGAUCGGGAUUUGUCACUCCGUGUGACGGAGAGGUAUCUCUGGGCCCACUCGGUAGAACAUCAUCACGAGCUCAAUGUGACUAAGGAGUUAGUCACACGAUGACGUGCUACGGAACGAGUAAAGAGACUUACCGGUAAUGAGAUUGAACAAGGUAUAGGUAUACCGACGAUCGAAUCUCAGGCAAGUUCUAUACCGACAGACAAAGGGAAUUAUAUACGGGAUUGAUUGAAUCCUUGACAUCGUGGUUCAUCCGAUGAGAUCAUCGUGGAUCUAGUGGGAGCCACCAUGGGUAUCCAGAGCCCGCUGAUGGUUAUUGGCCAGAGAGGUGUCUCGGUCAUGUCUACCUGUCUCCCGAACCCGUAGGGUCUACACACUUAAGGUUCGAUGACGCUAGGGUUAUAGGGAAUUGUUAUACGAGAUUACCAAAAGUUGUUCGGAGUCCCGGAUGAGAUCCCGGACGUCACGAGGAGCUCCGGAAUGGUCCGGAGGUAAAGAUUGAUAUAUAGGACGGAUGGUUACGGACACUGGAAGUGUUUCGGGCAUCACCGGUAACGUACCGGGACCACCGGGACCACCGAAGGGGGGUGACGACCCCGGGAGGCUAGAUGGGCUAAGUGGGGAAGGGAACCAGCCCCUAAGUGGGCUGGUGCGCCCCCACCCAGCCCAUGUGCACCAGAAAAAAGGGGAAGGGGGGAACCCUAACUAAGGUGGGCCUUAGGCCCACCAGAGGGGUGCGCCACCCCUCCUCCUUGCCCUGGCCGCCACUCCCCCCAUCUGGGAGGGCUGCCGCACCCCCUAGGGUGGGAACCCUAGGGUGGCACCCCCUCUCCCCUUCCCCUGUAUAUAGUGGGCACUUUUGGCCUUUGGAGGACACGUUUUUCCCUCUCCCUCGGCGCAGCCCUGCACUUCUUCCUCCUCCUCUCUGCCGGCGCUUGGCGAAGCCCUGCCGGGAGACCUCGUCUCUCCACCAACACCAUGCCGUCGUGUUGCUGGUCUUCUUCCCCAACCUCUCCCUCCUCCUUGCUGGAUCAAGGUGCGGGAGACGUCACCGGGCUGCACGUGUGUUGAACGCGGAGGUGCCGUUGUUCGGCACUAGAUCAGAAUCGCUGCGAGUACGACUCCAUCAACCGCGUUCUAGCAACGCUUCCUCUUAGCGAUCUUCAAAGGUAUGAAGAUGCUCUUACCCCUCUCUCGUUGUUGGUCUCCCCAUAGGAAGAUCUGAACAUGCGUAGGAAAAUUUUGAAUUUAUGCUACGUUACCUAACAAAUACGUCGCCCCGACGACACUUACCCCCAAUCCCAACCCCUCUUCGGCCCCCUGUUGACUGAUAAGGUGCUCUUUGGCCAUCGAGAAGCCACCGGUGGUGGAGCUCACCAGGAGAAUGGUCGGAGAGGCAGAGACGUGAGGUCUCCGGAACCGAAAGAGAUGAUGUGUUAACCCUAUGACCGUGCUUCGCCAUACCUGAGGGCAUCGAGGACGAGCGAGUUAGGGGGUUCCUCAGCAUCGAUGGAACCCUAAAUGACAUCUAUAUAGUUCAUAUAUUUGUGUUAGGUCAAACAUUUUUGGAUUUUAUUUACGAACACAAAAUAUUUGUGUUGAUAAGGUGGAUUUACAUGUGCAGUGUUCUCGUCUGUUGUUCGAAGACCUCCCCCUGUGUUCGACGAGCUCCACCCCUACGUUCGUGGGUGAGUACAAAUGAAAUCUCCUCCUCGCCCCUUAUUUUGCUAUGGCUCGGUCUUCGAAUGAAACAUCCUAGAUAUAGGUACAUUAAAUUAUCAGUAUGCGUGACCAGUAUGCGUCUCAUGUUCGAAAGGGUUAUAGUUAUAAAUAUGCAUGCAUUUUCAUAUAUUUCUAACUGUGAUUCUUCCGAAUUGUACAACGUUAUCCAUGGACAACCCGAGUAUGUGUAGAUUGGGUAUGUUUUCCCAUAUGCUUUGCUUCGGAUCGGAUGCAUAAUUUCGUCAGUCAUCCCUAUUGUUCUCCGGAUACACAUCCUCUCUGUUUAUUGCCAAGACGUGUAUCAUGAGAACAGCGGGGAGGUGCUGCCGAAAUUUUGUGUUGGAUCUGGAGCAAAGCAUGGGAAAACAAACCCAAUCUACACAUACUCAGGUGGCAUUAGGACCUAUCUUUACCUAUUAGCGUGUAGGUUGCAUGGAUAUAAUAAAACUGGUGAACUUGAUUAACUGAAUAACAUAUAUGCUGAAUUAUAUAUAUAUAUAUNGGAUCUGGAGCAAAGCAUGGGAAAACAAACCCAAUCUACACAUACUCAGGUGGCAUUAGGACCUAUCUUUACCUAUUAGCGUGUAGGUUGCAUGGAUAUAAUAAAACUGGUGAACUUGAUUAACUGAAUAACAUAUAUGCUGAAUUAUAUAUAUAUAUAUUUCUUGUGUGUUUAGUAGCUAGGCAAGAUGAGUGGUCGUGCGUGGAUGUACACCGGUGUUGUCUUGUUUGAUUGCAGACCUUCUACAGGUGUGAGGAGGGAUAUGAUGAGGCGGCGGCUAAUGUUCUCGAGGCCGAGUGCGGGCGGCUAUUACAGAACUUGCGCCAUGAGGCUCGGCCACACGCUAUUCGAGACUACUAUGCCACGCGUGGUGUUAAGAAGGAGAAGAACGACUUCCGCGGAAAGUAUCUGAAGAAGAGCAGUACAUGUAGGUAAUUUCCUAUUCUUAAGGCCUUGUACGUAGCUUUCUUUAUUUGAUUUGUAGGCGUAGCGUUCAAAAUUCUUUUUACUAACUUAUAGGAGCCCUGAGAUGGUGUGCCAAUAAGAUGGAUUGUUGGGAGGAGUUGGUGGAUGAGUGGUGCACACGCAACUGGCGAGCUGUGCACGACAAAGCAAAGGAGAGGCGUGCCCAAAUGGUUGGUGUGCCACAUCAUCAAGGCAGCGCCAACUUAAUUUAGUUCAGACGGAACUGGGUAUGCGGUUUGCUUCCUUAUUCAUGCAAUUAGUUCUUCAUGCUAGCUUGAGGCCUUACUAAUACUUUGUUCCUCUCUUUUAGGCGCAUCACAAUAAGACGUAGGUGCCUGAGUUGUAUGACCUUCAUGGUAUGGCCCAUACUGCCUCCUACAAGAAGGCUAAGGCAUUCUCUGAGUCUGACCUGGAUCCUCCAGAGAUGGUCACCAACAUCUCCUCCCACCACAAGCUCAUGAAAUACAGGGACGUGGGGAAGGCUAGGAAAGGGGAGGACUUUAACCCAAGCCAGGAACCUUUGGAUCGAGAGCUGGUGAUGAUAUCUGGCGGCGGGAGGCCCCAUGGCUCUAUAUGCAUUGGAUAUGUGAUAAUAUGUUGUCCACUCACUCUCACGGAGAUCAAGGAGCGCUAGUCAAGCUCCUGUCCUGCGAUAACACCUCAUCCACGGACGGUCGAUCUCGCCAUCGAGGUCAGUUGUACGGACUCACAGAACUUUCAUCCAUUUCAUUGUGUGUGUGGCCAUUGAUUAUUAUAGUGGUAAUGAGGAAUGGUGUUGCAGGUUGCUCUUCAAAAAGAGAGAGCUUCAAACCAGGAUGCUCUUGAUAAAGAGAGAGUUGCAACGAGGCUUCUCUUCAGGAUGCUCUUGAGGAGAGGGACCGGAACACAACUCGAUUGUUGGAGGAGGAGAGGGCCCGGAAUGAGGCAGGUCACCUCGCCAUGUACGAGCUUAUUGUGUUAAGUUCCUAUUUCACAUUACCCAAAUCAUGCGUGUAAUGUCGGUUUCAUUAGUAAGUAAUAUGACCGACUCUUCAAAAACAAAUGUGAAGUCUUUGUGCGAGAAGACCGGUCAGCCCCCUCCAUCGAUGGUUGUCUUUUCUGCGAUUGGCAUAGUGAGUUUCAUUUCAAUGGUCAUUAUAAACUACUAUUAACAUUUGAGUGUCGUCAUGCUAAAGAGAAAUUGCAAAAUAUCUUUUCUACAGAAUAAUUCCCGAGCGGCAUCACACGACCCUUCUCCAGGUAACCUUCUCCAAACGCAACAGACCCGAGCAGCCCUGGUGCUUCUCCUAGAUGACGACGAAGGUAAGUUUUCUCUAGUUCAUUUAUGACAUAAUUAGCUAAUUUAGCUCCAAAAUGAUGUAAUUAGCUAAUUUCUCCCCUUUCUUCUUCUCCUCAGCUUAUUUUCCCAACAAAGACAUAAUUAGCUAAUUAUCCUCCAAAAUGACAUAAUUUGCUACUUUAGGUCCAAAAAUGACAUAAUUAGCUUUCUUAGGUAAAAAUAUCAAAAGAACCUUUGUUAGCUCGUAACUUAGCGUAUCUUCCUCCUAAAUGACAUACUAAGAUUUUCCUCCUAAAUGACAUAUCCUUUUCCUCUCCUUCUUCUUCUCCUCCUUUUCCUCGGGUCUUAUCCUUAGCUUAUUUUCCCCAACAAUGACAUAAUUAGCUAAUUUAGCUCAAAAAUGACAUAAUUAGCUAGUUUAGCUCCAGGAAGACAUACUUAGCUAAUUUAUUUCCAAAAUGACGUAAUUAGCUAAUUUAGCUUCAAAAAUACAUAGUUAGCUAAUUUAGCUCCAAGAAGAGGAGAAGAGGAGAAGAAAGAGGAAAAAUUAAAAGAAGGAAGAAGAAGAAAAAGAAGAGAAGAAUAAAAGAAGAAGAAGGNNNNNNNNNNNNNNNNNNNNNNNNNNNNNNNNNNNNNNNNNNNNNNNNNNNNNNNNNNNNNNNNNNNNNNNNNNNNNNNNNNNNNNNNNNNNNNNNNNNNNNNNNNNNNNNNNNNNNNNNNNNNNNNNNNNNNNNNNNNNNNNNNNNNNNNNNNNNNNNNNNNNNNNNNNNNNNNNNNNNNNNNNNNNNNNNNNNNNNNNNNNNNNNNNNNNNNNNNNNNNNNNNNNNNNNNNNNNNNNNNNNNNNNNNNNNNNNNNNNNNNNNNNNNNNNNNNNNNNNNNNNNNNNNNNNNNNNNNNNNNNNNNNNNNNNNNNNNNNNNNNNNNNNNNNNNNNNNNNNNNNNNNNNNNNNNNNNNNNNNNNNNNNNNNNNNNNNNNNNNNNNNNNNNNNNNNNNNNNNNNNNNNNNNNNNNNNNNNNNNNNNNNNNNNNNNNNNNNNNNNNNNNNNNNNNNNNNNNNNNNNNNNNNNNNNNNNNNNNNNNNNNNNNNNNNNNNNNNNNNNNNNNNNNNNNNNNNNNNNNNNNNNNNNNNNNNNNNNNNNNNNNNNNNNNNNNNNNNNNNNNNNNNNNNNNNNNNNNNNNNNNNNNNNNNNNNNNNNNNNNNNNNNNNNNNNNNNNNNNNNNNNNNNNNNNNNNNNNNNNNNNNNNNNNNNNNNNNNNNNNNNNNNNNNNNNNNNAUAUAUAUAUAUAUGUGCUAUGGGCUCUUUGCCGUCCGUGGAACACACAUUUGCCGUAUGCUAUGGCAGAAGGCAAAGUGUCAGAUUUCUAUAGUGACACACAACCUUUCCUCAAGGAAACCGUAAAGGAAAUGAUGGUUUGACAUGCAUCUUCCCGAUUUCAUAAUUAAAGAAUGCAGCAACUUCUAACAUGAUUUCAGCAAACUUUAGCAUCACUAUGGGCGAGAAAGUCUCAUCAUAGUCAACUCCUUGAACUUGUAGGAAUCUCCUUGUGACAAGUCUAGCUUUAUAAAUGGUGACAUUUACCAUCAUCAUGUGUAUUCCUAUUAAAGGUCCAUUUUUUCAGAAUAGCCUUUUGACCAUCUGUAAUACUUCCAAAGUCCACACUUUGUUUUCAUACACAGAUCCUAUCUCAGAUUUCAUGGCCUCUAACAAUUUGUCGAUAUCCGAGCCCACCAUCGCUUCUCCAUAGCUCAUAGGUUUAUUAUUGUCCAACAACAUGACCACCAAGACAUGAUUACCGUACCACUCAGGAGCAGUAUGUGUCCUUGUCGACCUAUGAGGUUCGAUAGUAACUUGAUCUGAAGCUUCAUGAUCACCAUCAUUAGGUUCCUCUUCAGAUGGUGUAGGCACCACAGGAACAUCUUCAUGCGCCAUUCUACUCUCCGGUUGAAGUGUCGGUUCAACAAACUCAUCAAGUUCUAUCUUCCUCCCAAUCAAUUCUUUCGAGAGGAACGCUUUCUUGAUAAAGGACUCGUUCUUAGCAACAAACAGUUUGCCCUAGGAUAUGAGAUAGAAGGUAUACCCAAAUGUUUCCUUCGAGUAUGCUAUGAAGAUGCACUUCUCCGCUUUGGGUUCGAGCUUAUCAGGCUAUAGCCUUUUGACAUAAGCAUCAUAGCCCCAAACUUUUAAGAAGUGGAAGCUUAGGUUUAUUUUCAAACCAUAAUUCAUAUGGUGUCGUCUGAACGGACUUAGAUGGUGCCCUAUUUAAAGUGAAUGUGUUUGUCUCUUAUGCAUAACCCCAAAACGAUAGUGGAAAUCAGGAAGAGACAUCAUAGCACGCACCGUAUCCAAUAGAGCACGGCUACGACGUACGGGCACACCAGCAAACUAUGGUAUUCUACGUGGCAUGAGUUGUGAAAUACUUUCCACAUUGUCUUAAAUGUAUAUCGAACUCGUAACUUCGAUAGUCACCUCCAUGAUCACAUCAUAGACAUUUUAAAUUCUUGUCAUGACAAUCUUCAACUUCACUCUCAAAUUGCUUAAACUUUUCAACAUUUCAGUCUUGUGAUUCAUCAAGUAAAUAUACCCGUAUCUACUCAAAUCAUUUGUGGAGGGGCAAUUGAUUUUAUGCCCCUAGUUGGGUCACACUCGGCAUGUUUACCCCUAGUUUCCAAAAACACUUGAUUCCGCCCAAACCACUUCGCUUCUCUUAUGCUUUUGCCCUUUGACCAUUUGACCGUCACUUUAAAAUUUUCACAAUGAAUUCAUACUAACUCAGAAAAGUUCAAAUAUAUCAAAAUGUUCAGAAAAACAUCACCUAUAUGUGCAUGGCAUCUGCAUUCUUGACAAACAUGUUGGAAAGUCGACAUCAUCGAUGAUAGCUCCAACUCAGAUGAGGACUUUCGAGCAUUUUUGUUACAAAUGUGAAUGGCGUGCACAUAUAGGUGAUGUUCCUCUGAACAUUAUGACAUCUUAUUUGAAUUGUUCUGAGUUAGUAUGAAAUUUUUAUGAAAUUUUCAAAGUGAUGGUCAAACGGUCAAAGGGCAAAAGCAUAAGAGGAGCGAAGUGACUUGGGAAGAACCAGGUUUUUUUUUUUGAAAAUUAGGGGUAAAACUGCCGAGUGAGAAACAACUAAGGGCGCCAAAUUAAUUCUGCCAUUUGUGAAGUAAGAAAAUAACAAUAUCCCUUACGUGCUUCAACACUUAUUAGACCGCAUACAUCAAAAUGUAUUAUUUCCAAUAAGUCACUUUCCUGCUCCAUCAUACUAGAAAACGGGGUCUUUAGUCAUCUUCCAAAGAGGCAUGGUUCGCAUGUCUCAAGCGAUUCAUAACCGAGUAAGUCCAAAGAUCCACCAGCACGGAGUUUGUUCUUGUGUUUUUACACCAAUAUGAGCUAAGUAGCAGUGAUACAAACAUGUGGUACUAUCAUCAUUAACUUUGCAUCUUUGGGCAUCAAUGUGAGGAACAUGUGUAUCAUUAUGUUUGUGAUUGAAUAAACUAUCCACAUCAGGUGCAUGAUCAUAAAAUAUAUUAUUCAUGUAAAGCAACAGAAUUACCCAUUAUUCUCUAACUUACAUGAAUAAUCAUCUCGCAAUAAACAAAAUGAAUAUUAUGUUCAUGAUCAACGUAGACACCAAAUAACAUUUUUUUAGGUUUAUCACUAAUCCCGAAGGUAGAUUUAGCAUGUCAUGGUGAUCACAUCAACCUUGGAAACAAUUCCAACACACAUCGUCACCUCACCUUUAGCUAGUGUCUGUUUAUUCCGCAACUCCUGUUUUGAGUUACUAAUAUUAGCAACUAAAUAGGUAUAAAAUACCCAUGGGCUACAACGAGCACUAGUAAGGUACACAUCAAUAAGAUGUAUAUCAAAUAUACUUUUGUUGACAUUGCCAGCCUUCUUAUGUGCCAAGUAUCUGGGGCAAUUCCGCUUCUAGUGACCGCUCCCCUCAUAACCAAAGCACCCAGUCUCGGGUUUGGGUUCAACCUUGCGUUCUUCACUGGAGCGACAGCUGGCUUGUCAUCCUCAAAGUUUCCCUUAUUACCCUUACCCUUCUUGAAACUAGUGGUUUUACUAACCAUCAACACUUGAUGCUCCUUCUUGAUUUCUACCUUCACGUUGUCAAACAUCGUGAAUAGCUUAGGGAUCAUAUUCUCCAUCCCUGGCAUGCUAUAGUUCAUCAUGAAGCUCUAGUAGCUUGGUGGCAGUGACUUGGAGAAAUAUCUUAAUCACUAUCUUAUCUGGAAGAUCAACUCCCACUUGAUUCAAGCGAUUGUAGCACCCAGAAAACCAGAGCACAUGCUUGAUAAUCCCCAAGUUCAAUCAUCGUAGCACUUUCCAAAGAUGGAAGUGGUAGGUAUGGAGUGUCGAACCCACAAGAAGCUAAAGGUAAGAUCAAUAUUCUCUCAAGUCUCAUCUUCCACCUAUACGACUCUACAUACACCGAACAUUUGCUACUAUCUAGUAACGAGAAAUAAAACAUCGUUGUGGGUAUAAAGAGGAUAGCUUACAAUAUAUUACAAAUAGCGACUUUGGAAUAAUGAUGGUAUGUUGUGUGGAAUCAUCUUGGCAAUUGAUAACAAGAUCGGUAAUCAUUCUUGCAAUUUUAUAUGAGGGAGAGGCAUGAGCUAACAUAGUUUUCGUGCUUGGGUCAUAUGAACUUAUGACUGCAUCUCUAGCAACUAUCCGCCACUACUAGAAAUCAUUAAGGUAAAACAAACCAUAGCAUUAAACAUCAGGUCCCGUUUACUCCCAUACGUAAACAACCCCAUUACUCGGGUGUAAGCUUCUGUCACUCUAGCCACCCACUAUAAGUGUAUCAUGAACAAAUUGCAACACCCUCCAGUGUGAAUCCCUCACAUGUGCGCCUCAUGGAAGGCACCUUAGGACAAUACAAAAAUAAAACGUACAAUCAAACCAAUCAAGAUCAUCAAUCAACCCAAAGGACAACAUAGACCUAUUCAAACAUCAUAGGAUGGCAACACAUCAUUCAUUAAUAAUAUUUGCAUGAAACACCAUGUUCAAGUAGGGUAUUACAAUGGUGUGCGUAAGAGUGGACCAAUGAAAAGAUAUGAGGAAGGUGAUUAAGACGGUAAUGAUGAUGAAGAUGAUCACCGCAGCAAUGGCUCCCUUGGCAGCACUUCGGUGCCGCCGGAAGAGAGGGGGAGAGAGUCUCCCCCCUUAAGCAUUCUCCUCCAUGGCCUCUCCCCAUCGAGGGAAAGGAUCUCCUUGUGUUCCUCGGCCGCCAUGGCUCCUGGAGGGGUGAGAGCCCCUCCGAGAUUGGAUCUCUCUCCCUCUCUAUUUCUCUGGUGUUUUUGCUGCUAUUUUGUGGCCCUUCACCGUUUCUUAAAUAUCCGGGGAUCUGUAAAUCCGAUUGGGCUGAAAUUUUGAAGGGAUUUUUAUUAGGAAAAAAUAUUUCCUGCGGUGAAAGAAGGGCCCCAACCUACUUAAGGGGUGGCCACAAGACAUCAGCGCGUGACCACCCCCCUAGUCGCGCCAUGUUGGCUUGUGAGAGCCUCGGGCAACGUGCGACGUUGAUUCUUCUUCCCAAAAUUCACAUAUAUUCCAAAACAAAUCUUCAUAAAUUGGUAUCACGUUUUUACUCCAUUUGAUAUGGAUUUUCUACAAAACAAAAUACACACAAAAAACACGAAGUGGCACUAGGCACUGGAUAUGUAAGUUAGUCCUAGAACAUAAUAUAAAAUGUUGCCAAAAGUAUAUGAAAGUUGUAGAAUAUUGGCAUGAAUACUUUGUAAAUUAUCGAUACAUUGAAGACGUAUAAGCAUCCCCAAGCUUAAUUCUUGCUCGUCCUCGAGUAGGUAAAUGGUAAAAGAAAUAAUUUAUGAAGUGUGAAUGCUAGCAUAGUAUACAAGUUUGACCAGUGUUACGCCCAAUCACUUUUUCUAGCAUUAUAAAACAUCAACUCUGUUCUCAUAGAACUUCUCAUGAUCAACUAACAAGUUAAACACAUGUUAAAGUCUUGACAAUAAACUUUCCUGAAAACUUGCAAACUAUGUUUUCAGUCAUCAAACAAUUACAAUUCAUCUAAUUUUCCCGAAGGCUGUAGGAUCGAAACUAUGUCUAGAGGGGGUGAUUAGACUACCUGAUAAGAUAAUUUUUUUGCCUUUUCCUAAUUUUACUUGAGAGGCAACUACGACAGUUAUGAUAAGUCAAAUACACCAUACACUUGCAGUUCUAAUAGUACAGCAGUGGAAAGCAAACAUGCAAGUGUAAAUAGAGGAGUAAGGAAGGGAGAUCAAACACAUAAGGUUGACACGGCGAUUUUUGGCAUUGUUCCGAUAGGUGGCGCUAUCGUGUGUCCAUGUUAGUGGAGAAUUCAACCCACAGAGGGUAACGUCUGUAAGAGUCCACGGAGGGCUCCACCCACGGAGGGUCCACAAAGAACCAGCCUUGUCUAUCCCACCACGACUUCUGUCCACGAAGGACUAGCCUUACUAACAGUAGAUCUUCACGAAGUAGGCGAUCUCCUUGGCCUUACAAACAUCUUGGUUCAACUCCACAAUACGAAGUAAGAGGCUCCCAAGAGACACCUAACCAAUCUAGGAGGAACCACCCUACAAAAGGUAAUAGAUGGGGUAGAUCAAUGAACUGCUUGCUCUUGUGCUUCUAAAGAUAGUCUCCUCAACACAAAUCUCUCUCUCACAGAAUAUGCAUGGGUAGGAGAGGUUGAUUUGGUGGAAAGCAGUUUGGGGAGGCUAGAGAUGAAGAUUCAAAUGAUUGGAUUGGACUAUCUUGGUCUCAACACAUGAGUAGGUGGUUCUCUCUCAGAAACUGGAUCUGGAAAUGAAGUGUGUGUUCUGAGUGCUUCUCCAACGAAUGAGAGGUGGGUGAAGGGGUAUAUAUAGGCAGCAGCCAAAAUCCAACCAUUACACACAAAAGAGCAAACUCGGUGACACCGAAGUGGACAACUCGGUGGUACCGAUUAGCACUAAAGUGGUGCACUUUUGAAUCUCGGUGAGACCGAUAUAUAGAACUCGAUGGCACCGAAAAGGUGACUCACGGUCUGAUGGCCAAACUCGGUGGCACUGAUACUCAAACUCGGAAAUUCCGAUUUUGUGUAUCUUGGCAAGACAAUGUUUGUCACACUGAACUCGGUAGCAUCGAUGCAGUUUAGGGUGCACCGGUUUGGUGGGAAUGGCUAGGGUUCUGUCUUAGGUUCAAACUCGGUGGGUCCGAUUUGGCAAUGUUGGUGACACCGAAUUAGCGUAUGUGGAACUUGACAGAGUGGAUAUGUGGGAAAAAUGACACAGUGUUGGUGGCUAACUUUGAGCAUUUGAGAAGUCAGUUCAUUUUAAUACCUCACCUUGUUUUAAUAGUAUUGGCUUUCCUAUGGACUCAAAAGUGAUUUCUCACAAAUAUAAAAUGAAGAGUCUUCUAGCUUGAAGCCUGAGCCAAUAUUAUUCCCUUCUUGCAUCUAGGGGCAUCUCCACAUAAACCUUAAGCCAUACCAUCUUUUGAACUUUUCUGAAAUAUACAUGGAAAACACAUUAGUCCAAUGAUGUAGAUGUUGUGAAAAAUUAUCGAAACCACCCUAGGGAGCAAUUGUGCUUUCAAUCUCUCCCUUUUUAGUAAUUGAUGACAACAUAUAGAUCAAAGCUUCAACAAAAUAUAUAAUUAAUGAUUAGCAUCGACGCUUGGACAAGUAUGUGAAAAGCAAGAGCUCCCCCUAAAUUUGUGCAUUAUUUAAAAUUUGUGAUUGAAUGCAAAUGCACAAUAGAUUAGGAUCAUGGGUAACUCUUCCAUGUCACAUACAUCUUGGUGGUGCGUAAAAAUAAUAGCAAUGCACAUGACACAAACAAGAUAAGUGAGUGAUCAUCACAAGGAUAACUAAAAGAUAAUAUUGUAACAUCACACAAGAUAAAGCGUAUGAUCACACACAGAUAGGAUAAAUUCAUCCAUAAACCAAUGUUUUAAAAACAAAUAAGAACAAAUAAAGUCAAAAGCUCUCUCUCACACGAAGUCUAUGAUCUAUACAGUUCUCCCCUUUGGCAACAAGUUACCAAAAAGUUCAAAAGCAUAGAACUACUCGUCUCUCUGGGCAACUGAUAAUACAGGUGGAGGAUUUGAUAUUGAAUGAGCUUGAGCUAGAGUUGGUGCUAAAGGUGUUGAAGCUUGUGCUGAAGAUGUAUGUCUUGUCUCCGGAGCAGGAACAACAAUUGACCAGGGCUGGGUGUUGAACCUUGUGGUAGUGGGAGGAGGAGACUCCUCCUUGUCAUCAUCAUCAUCUUAUUCAUCUUCAUCCUAUGAUCGUGGAAUCUCCAUAGAGUCAACUUCAUGUUGAAGGUAUCUAACAAUGGUGGUCAACUCAGUUACCUUCAUAUCCAUGUUGUGGAAUUUUGUCUCCACAACUCUCUCAAGGUUGUUCUGAUUUUGCAUGAUCUCCUGAAUGUUCUUCCCCAUGCCUUGGACAAUGCUUACUAGAAAGCCAUUUGCUCUGCUUGAGUUCCGAGCUGUGGAACUAUAGGUGGCCUGUUUCUAGCAGCUUCAGCCUCUACUGCCUCUGCUGCCAUUCUUGUUGCAGCUGAGUUGGGAUCAUUGUCAUCCAUCACAACCUCAUUAUCGUCAAAUUCAGGUUGAAGAGGUAGAUGGGGACGGUCAAGUUGAUAUGCAUGCUUGCCUAUCUUGGCAUUGAUGAGCAUAUGCAUAUAAGGUGCAUAUCCACGGGAUCUCUUAUAAUCUGCAUCAGUCCUUUGGAUAGUCUCAGCUAUCAACUCCAUCACUCUAAAUGUGGUAUGGGUAUCAAGUAGGUGCAGCAGGUUGAUUGAAUAUCCUCUGAUCAUCUUCUCAUCUCCUAACUUAGGCAUGAGAGUGUAUCACAAUAUAGUCUUUGUCUUGGGAAUACCAGCUUGCAGAAAAUAUACUGAGCCAAACUUGUGACUGGCCAAGUAAUGAUGUGGAAUGGUCUUUUACAUGUUGUCCACGGAGUUGUGAUUCUGCUUAGCAUCUGCAUACACAUGUACAUCUGCUUCUUCCUGCUUGGGAACACCAAUGAUAGAAGCCCAUUCAGCAAUUGCAGCAUCGUACCUGUGUCCAUUAGUUAUCGAAACUAAAGAGUCAUCAUAGAAAUGAAUUGUUGCGUAGAAUUGCAUGAUCAUCUCGACAUUCCAAGGGGUCAUAUCCUUCCCAACAAAAUCUUCUAUGUCAACUCUAGCCUGAAGUUCUCUUGAACAUGUGGAAAGAAAUUCUCAUUCUUGUCGAUGUAUGCCCAGUCGACAUACCUCAUAUCACUCACAGCAUGACUCUUGUCAUACAAUACAGUCACAUAAAAAUCUUGUUGUUCCUUGGUGUGAAACCUUGGAUCAACAUCAGUUCUUCUUUUUAUAGCAUAUGGAUCAGCAACUCUCCACUUUAUUAAUCCAGUAUCCUUCCUCUUCUUCAUGUCUUCUUCUACAGGAUGAGCAUCAUGUGGAGUGGAAGGUAUGGUCUGAGAUUCCUGAGAACUGGAGCAUUGUCAUCUUCUUCCUCUUCGGCAGCAUGGGCAAUGUAUGCACGACCUUUUCUUUUAGCAGCUGCAGGUAUAUCUUUAGUGGCGUUCCUAGAAGCUACAACCUUCUUUGCUUUAGCAGCAGGCUUUGGAGCAGACUUCAUUGCAUCGCCCAUCAGCUUCUUCUUCUUGGGUGGAACUGGGAUCUCCUCAGGGGCUUCUUGCUCAGCUUCUUCUGAGUCUUCAAACAUAGAAGUCUUUCUGCCAACAAGAUGGAUAGUUAUCUUCCUGGGCCUCUUCACACCAGCCUUCUUUGUAGGUGCUUCCUUGGCAAUAGCUUCGCCCUUCUUGGCAUAAUCAGGUGUUCUCAGAUUAGCAGCACUAGCAGAUAUCUUCCUAACAACUUUGCUUGGAGGAUCCUUAGGAGGGGCUGAAGUUUCUUCUGGCAAAAAUUCCGAGUCUUCCUCAUCGGAAACUAUCUUCCUCCUUUGCGUGGUGGCUGCCUUCAGAAAGCCACGAGAACUUGGACAACUAGGGUCUGAAGCAGUCUUUUCUUGACUGGUGCCGGAGUCCAUCUCGACACUCUGCUCUCUGAAAUCAUUUUGACUAUCAUCUGAACCUGACAUACUGACAUACACUCUGAGCAGCAACCAGCAGAUCAUGUGAAGUGGAUGUAGGAAAGACAAAAUUGAAGAGCAUCACAAAAUUCAGAUAUUUUUUGAAAAUUUAAAGUCUGAAACUCAGGGUAUGAGCUUGUGCAGGAUGUAAAUUGGUGGCACGGAGUCGGCAUUUUUGGAUUCACCAAGAAAACAGACUCACUUAACAGAAACUUGGCAGUCGUUUUCGGUGGCACCGAAAAUAUCUGCUUGUUCUCACCGAGUUGCUUCUGAGGAACCCUAAAACAGGAAUCGGUGGAACCGAUUUUACAAACUCGGUCUCACCGAGUUGCAUUUUGCGGCAUAUCAGAGUUGAAAUUUCCUUCUUCUCCUAAUCUACUGAUUUUAUCUGGUGGACAGCAGGUUUGCACAAAGUGGAAAGAAGAAUUAAAAGAUCCAAUGCGUGAGAAAAAGACGAGGAACGCAAAGGCGAUCAAACCGUACCCUAAAUUGGUGGCGGUUUGGCUACGGUGAUGACGAAGGAGAAGAUUUUGUUGACGAUGGUGAGUCCCAGCGGUGGCGGCACUCGGGGAGUCAAGGCGAUGACCUGGGGUCUUGGGGGCAGUGAGGGUUUGGCGAAUGAACCAUUUUGAUGAAGUGAAAUCAAAAGAUCCAGUCCGCAGGUAUAUAUACCCGUGCGCUCUCGAUGUCACCGAGAUGGAAAAUCGGUGUCACCGAGUUCCUCAACUGUCAGUAGACAGGGAAACUCGAUGUAACCAAGUUGGCGAUUCUAGUGGUACCGAGAUGAGAAAACCUGAUCAACUUUGGAAAACCGGUGGCUCCAAGUUUGUGGAGUUGGUUACACCGAGUUUUUCAAAGAGGUUUUGGAAGGUAGCCUUUGACGAUACUGAACUCCGAGUGCACCUUCACACAGAGGGAUCGACAAGUGCUUGUUCAAGUUUUGUGAUGAAGCAUGAAUAUAAUUUGAGAUGAGAUAGCAUAGAUAGGUAGAGAAGGGUCCAAGGCAUUCUUGUCCAUCCAAUUGGCAAAAGAUAAAACAAAAGCCAUAUAACAACAAUUGGAUGUCCUCGAAUGAUUAAAUUCAUGUAGACGAACAUAUUCACACAAUAAGAAUGAUGAUACAAACAUGGUGAACAUGCACAAACAUCCUAGCAGCUAUCAAGCUCUUGGACGAUGACAAGGUCAUCUAUAUAUGAGUAUAUUGACAUAGGAGCCAAGCAAGAAUACUUGAUCAUAGGUCAUACUCAUCGUUAAGCACAAGUGGGGUUACCACUUUUACAUAAGCAUUAAUGUGUUCAUAUCCUUAGGAGAUGCUUAUACUCAAGUAUUAGAGUAAAGCUCCCCUUGAUAUGAUAUCCCCACUAAGAGGGAUCAACUAACCGUGGGUUUUGUCGUGGAAUACUUCAAGUAGGUGAAGUAGUGGUGGAUGCUCAAAGUUUAUGAAGAUCAUCUUGAGUUGGGAGCAAUCCUUGUUGUUUUUCAUACUCUUCUCACCUACAUGGGUUAGUCCCAAAGAAAAAAAGAACAUACGCAAGUAUAUCUAUGGACAUGGAGUGAAGCACAAAUCGGAUGAUGUCCAAAGAUGCAUUGAUUACAUAGUUCCUUGCUUACCUUUGAGGGAAUGUGUGACUCCUUGAACUAAUGCAUAAGGUUGAGGUUGAUUGCAUAUAGUUCUUGCCAAAAUGAAUAAGAGUGUAUUUCAUUGGCAGAGUCACCCCUCAAGAACUUCUAGUCCUUCCCCUUGGGAAUCCACAUCAAAUUGAUGGGAAUCCUUGGAGUUGUUGUAGCACUUGUUGAUGUUGAGCUAGUAGUAUCCUUGGGAACCCAGUUGACCUUGGCUUGGGGUUCUUCUUCAAAUAGGUCAAUGUCAUCUUGAAGCUUUCCCUUGCAUUUGUGGUCUUGUGGUAGAAGGCCAUCUUGUGAGCUUGUUCCUUCAGAAGGAGUGGACUUCUCCUCUUAGGGAGCAAACUUGGGAGUGGGAUAUGGACCUUCUUCCCAAACAACUCCGUUGACGUUGAAAUAGCCAACACCUUGUUUCUUCCGAUGUCCUCCUUGCUUGCGCACAAUUUACUCGAAUUGCUUACUUCCGGCAAAACUCUCGAAGACACCUCUCUCGAUAAUCCCUUUCCAUAAAUCAUUUUCUUGCUCAACUGUAACUUGUCUAAGAGAAUCGUUAGUGGAAUCAAUAGAGUUACUAGGAACAACAUUAUUGGAUUUAGCUUUAGCAUUGUUGUUACUAGAUGAAGAAACCUUUUUUCCUUUGUUACUAGUGUUCUUAGGCUUAACUUGUGGAACAAAAUUAGACAAGAGUAAUCGUUUGGCUAGAUAAAAAGAACUCUUCUUUCCAAGGUCAUCAUUUAUUGCUUUUGAGAACUCAUGCUCUUUCUCGAAGUUGAGUUUCUCGAAGUGUAGCUUCUCAUGGGUUCCUCCAAGCUCUCUAUGAUCUUCUAGAGUAGUCUCAUGAGAUAACUUAAGAGCUUUUAAUUCUUGAGUUGGUCGUUCAAUCUCUUUCUUAUCGUCAUCAUUCAAUUUCUUUUGACUAGCAUGAUAGUUAGCAAGUUCAUUUUAAGUGCAAUCACUAGUUUUAUCUAGAAGCAGGUCAUCUUCUCCUAACAAGUCAUCCUCAUCUUCUAGAACCAAGUCAGCAGUGUCCGACUCCUUCAUUUGGUGAAUCAAAUAAGUCGUAGGAAUUGGAGGAAACAAGUUCAGUGCUGGCAACACCUUCAUCUUGACUACAGUCGGAGCGGGAGUGAUAGUUUUUCUCGGAGUGGUGAUCAGAUUCGGAGCCACAAACCCAUUUACCAACAUGAGCUUGAUGCCUUCUUCUUGAACUUCUCUUGGUGUAUUUGUCCUUCUUCUCAGAUUCCUUGCCUCUCCCUGAGUAUCUUCGUUCAUAGUAAUCUUCUCUACUCCUUCUCUCUCUGUGAGGUGACUCAUCUCUUGAGCUUCUUCUUCGAGGUGACCCUUCUCUUCUUUUGUAGGGAUCCUAGAACUCAUCUGAGUAGUGUCGGUUUCCCACAAUUUUAGUAGUUUUGGUCACGACCGGACGAACGCUUCUCAUCAUGUCUUGAACUUGAGCUUCUAUCUUUGCCUCUACUCAUGUAGAACUUGUUGAAUUUUAUGACCACAAGGAUUAUCUCUUCAUUAGUGACAAGAUUGUCAUUGAAGUAGCGGGAGCAUCGCAUGAAGCUUUAUAAGCACUGCUUGAAAUGUUGUGCAGCUCAUCUUUGUCUUUGAAUGACAUCUCAUCAGCAAGAAUCCUACCAAUAUGACUUCAGUUGGCUUGAGAUCUUUGUAAUUUGGUAUCAUUUGGGUCAAUUUGCACACUGUGUCAUACUUUCCAUCAAGAGCUCUAAGUAUCUUCUUGAUGAUGAGUUUGUCGGUCAUCUCUUCGCUUCCAAAGCAGGCAAUCUCAUUGGUGAUGAGAGCUAGCCCAGAAUACAUACCUGUGACUCCUUCACCAUCCUUCAUCUUGAACUUGUCAGGUUGACUUUGAAGCACAUCCAACUUAGAUUCUCUAACAUAAUUAGUACCUUUGUGCAUAUCAACCAAAGUAUCCCAAAUAUCUUUUGCACUCUCAAGACGACUGAUUUUGUUGAAUUCUUAGGGGCAAAGGCAGUUGAAGAUGAUAUCGCGGGCUUGAGCAUUAAGUUGCAACAUCUCGAGUUCAUCAGUUGUCGCAUCACGAUCUGGUUCAUAUGCCCUUCUCCAAGAAGUUACCUUGCACACCAACAUGAAUAACAGACCAAACAUGAGGAUUAAAGCCAAGAAUGUGCAUAUUCAUUUUAUGCUUCAAACUAGCAAAAUUAGUGCCAUCGAAGGAAGGACCUCUACGAUGAUAAUUAACCUCACUAGAUGCCAUACUCUCCUAUGUCACUAGACCAAUGAAAUGGAGACCAAAGCUCUGAUACCACUUGUCGGAUCGAAAGUAUGUCUAGAGAGGGGUGAUUUUACUACUUGAAAAGAUAUUUUUUUCCUUUUCCUAGUUUUACUUGAGACGCAACUACGACAAUUAUGACAAAUCAAAUACACCCUACACAUGCAGUACUAAUACUAUAGCAGCGGAAAUUAAACAUGCAAGUGUAAAUAGAGGAGUAAGGAAGGGAUAUCAAACGCAUAAGGUUGACAUGAUGAUUUUUAGCAUGGUUCCGGUAGGUGGUGUUAUCGUGCGUCCAUGUUAGUGGAGACUUCAACCCAUGAAGGGUAACGGCUGUGAGAGUCCACGGAGGGCUCCACCCACGGAGGGUCCAGAAAGAAGCGGCCUUGUCUAUCCCACCACGGCUUCCAUCCACGAAGGACUAGCCUUACUCACGGUAGAUAUUCACGAAGUAGGCGAUCUCCUUGCCCUUACAAACAUCUUGGUUGAACUCCACAACACGAAGUAGGAGGCUCCCAAGCGACACCUAACCCAUCUAGGAGGAACCACCCUCCAAAAGGUAAUAGAUGGGGUAGAUCAAUGAACUCCUUGCUCUGGUGCUUCUAAAGAUAGUCUCCUCAACACAAAUCUCUCUCACACAAAAUAUGCAUGGGUAGGAGAGGUUGAUUUGGUGGAAAGUAGUUUGGGGAGGCUAGAGAUUAAGAUUCAAAUGAUUGGAUUGGAAUAUCUUGGUCUCAACAUAUGAGUAGGUGGUUCUCUCUUAGAAAAUGGAUCUGGAAAUGAAGUGUGUUUUCUGAGUGCUUCUCCCAUGAAUGAGAGGUAGGUGAAGGGAUAUAUAGGCAGGAGCCAAAAUCCAACCGUUACACACAAAAGAGCAAACUCGGUGACACCGAAGUGGACAACUCGGUGGUACCGAUUAGCACUAAAGUGGUGAACUUUUGAAUCUUUGUGAGGCCGAUAUAUAGAACUCGAUGGCACCAAAAAGGUGACUCAUGGUCAGAUGCCCAAACUCGGUGGCACCGAUACUCAAACUCAGAAAUUCCAAUUUUAUGUAUCUUGGCGACAAAAUGUUGGUCACACUGAACUCGGUAGAUGCAGUUUCGGUUGCACCGAUUUGGUGGGAAAGGCUAGGGUUCUGUCUUAGGUUCAAACUUGGUGAGUCCGAUUUGGCAAUGUUGGUGACACCGAAUUUGUAUAUGUGGAACUUGACAGAGUGGAUAUGUGGGAAAAAUGACUGAGUGUUUUGGUGGCUAACUUUGAGCAUUUUAGCAGUCGGUUCAUUUUACUACCUCACCCCCUUUUAAUAGUAUUGGAUUUCCUAUGGACACAAAAGUGAUUUCUCACAAAUAUAAAAGGAAGAGUCUUCUAUCCUGAAACUUGAGCAAUAUUAUUCCUUUCUUGCAUCUAGGGGCAUCUCCACAUAAACCUUAAGCCACAUCAUCUUUUGAACUUUUCUGAAAUAUACUUGGAAACACAUUAGUCCAAUGAUGGAUAUGUUGUGAUCAAUUACCAAAACCACCAUAGGGUAAAAUUGUGCUUUCAAAGGGUCUAUGUAAGAGCUUAGUUUUAGGAAAUUAUACAUACUCAACUAUCAUUUAGUCUUCCAUGAUUGCUGACAGUCAAGGUAUAUUUUAAUACAAGAAAUUUUAAUUAAACACAUAGGAAUAUAGGGCUUAAUGUUUCGCCUCCCAAAUUAUUUAUCUCAUGGUUAAUGUAAACAAUAAUUAAUCAUGAUCACCUAUAUCCAACUAGAUAUAUGUGCCUGGAUCGUUCCCCACCACAUAAUGCUUGCCAACUAAAGAAUUAAUAGACUGGAAUAGGGAUGCACUUUUUAUUUUUUGAUGUGCAAUCUCUUAAUGAAAAGGAACGUCACUUUAUAUUGCCCCUUGAGCUAGCAAACUUUAUUAUGCAGUAUGUUGCUUAGAUUUUCUUGCCAUCAUAAGAUCGUACAAACAUUAUUUUCCCUUAUAAUAAAAGAUCAUACAUGUUAAGGAGCAAUUUUUAUUGUCUUGUGCACCAGUGACAACUUACUUGAAGGAUCUUAUUCUAUCCAUAAGUAGGUAUGGUGGACUCUCAUGGCAAGAAACAGAGUUUAAGGGUUACAGAUGCACAAGUAGUAUCUCUACUCAGUGAAAAUUUUUGGGCUAGCAAAAGAUCCUAAGAAAGCACCACAUGUUAGAGGAUUCAUGACAAUAUAAAUACUAUGUGAAUAUAAGCAAACAUGACCAUUGCGUUCUCUUCCUUGUCCAACGUCAACUACUUGAUCAAGUUUGAAAAUAAUUAAUGAGGGCUCACAAUCAUAGAAGAUGUCCAAGAUAGUUUAUUUAUAUGUGAAAUCUCUAUUUAUUCAAUAUUCCUUCAUAAAUUGUUAAAGUGACCAACAAUAUGUUUGUUAACCUCCAAUAAAUUUUAUUGCUUAUAGUCUUAGUAUGUGAAGUCACUACUUCCCAUGGGACAAGCAUAUGAAGCAUAUAUAAUUUCACGUUUUAUGACAUUUAAGUCAUUCAACAUUUUCUCUUAGGAUAUAAGUGAAGCACAAGAGUAAACAUCAAACUAUUCUCAAAAAGAUAUAAGUGAAGUUCAUAGAGCAUUCUUCAAUGAAUAUAGAGAGAUCAAUAUUCACGCUCAAAAUAUAUAAGUGAAGCACACGAAGCAUUCUAUAAAGCCAUACUCAUAAUAUGUAAGUGAACCACAUGAAGCAUUCUAUAAAUAAACAAAGAAUCAUCUCAUACUAUCAUGGUGCAUAGAAUAAAAUCGAAUAGUAAACACAAAAUAUGCUCCAAGAAUAGCACAUGUGAACGAAUGAAAACAUAGGAUCAACAUUGGUAAUUGAUAAUUGUUGACGAAGAGAGGUGGGAUGCAUAGCAUACCCAAGCUGUAACAUCCCAAAUUUUGGAAUGUUAAUAAAAUUAUUAGAUUGAUUGUUUGAGUGAUUGAAACUUGAGUGAAAUUUGAAACUUUUCAAAAACUUUUGAAUGAGAGGGAAUAAAAUGACUUUCCCCUUUUUCUGGUGAAUUCAAAUUCAUCCAUUUAAAAUCAAUGAGAGGAGAUAGCAUGAAUUCUUCAACUAUAAAGAAUUUGAAUGAAGGCGGCAUUUGAAUUUCUUUCGAUUUUUGUUUUGCAAUUCUAUUUUUUCUCGACUCAAGAAAUGCCAGGAAUAAAUUCUUGCCAAGCAAGAAAGAGAGGAGGAACAUGACCCUCCAAAAACCAAGGGCAUUCAUUGAAAUAUUUUGAGCCAAGAAAAAACCAAAAUUUAAUUUGAGAAAAUAAUGGCAAAAAGAAAUAAUGCUUUUAGGGAUUUUCUGAAAAAAACAUUUUUUUAAGUUUUUAUUUUGGCCGUGGAAAAAUGCCUAUCAUUUAAAUUUUAUUUUUCUGAUAAUUUUAGUAUAUAGAAACUAAAUAUUUCGAAUUUAUUUAGUUUCCAUUUUAUCGUUUACUUUCCGGUUUUUGAAAAUAGGAAAGAAAUCGCAAUUUAUUGGAAACUUUGCCCUGGCCCAUUAAAGCCUUUCCAAAUCUGGCCCAACAGGACCUUCUUCUUACUCACGUACUCCCUCUCUCCCAUGAACUUCCAUAGCAAUGGCGACAAAGAACCUCCACCUUCCCGAUCUCCCUCUCCCUUGCUUACCGGCGCCUCCCGAGCCCCCUAUAAGAACCCCCUCCUCCUCCUCGUUCCAUUUUCCCCAUCAACUCGCCUCCUCCCUUCCCGUAGCCACCUCGCCACCAUCUCCCCUUUCCUUGUCUACAGAAGCUCACAAGGAGCACGCCCACAUCGCCAGGACACCACCCCCCUCGCCUCCAAGAGCCCCUAACGCUCCUCUCCACAGCGCCGACCUGCUCCGCCGUCCCCCCUCCCCGCCGGCGACCUCCACCUCGCCAGAGCAGCCCCACCCCGCCGGAGCACCUCCAAGCCUGUCUAGCCACGGUGAGCUUCAUAGAAAUCCCGUCACAGUUUUUUUUCAAAAAAAGAGCAAACUUAUAAAAUUCAUAUCUAUUAGUCUAUAACUCCGAAUUAGGUGAUUCUUUUUGCGUUAGAUCACAAUUCUCUUUUAGUUUUUGAAAUCAUAUUACUUGCCUAUGUUUGAAAUUUCAAUAUUUGAAUUAGAUCAGAUUUAGUUUAAAUCUUGUUUUGCUUAUUCCAGGAGUUUAAAAAUAGCUUUUAAUUUGAUUCUUUUUGCUGAUGUUUCCUAGUGAUCAUAUCUUUCAGUAGUUUAAGGUUCAAUUUUUUUAAAUAUUUUUACUUGGGGUUUUUUACCAAAAUAGAUUCUGUUUUAGUUCUUUUAGGAUUGUGGCUAUUUCUUUUUCUAUAAUUGUUUUUAAAUUAUUUUCUUUUAUAUUUCAGAAANUAUAUUUUGUUUUCCGUUAUUUUACUAUUUUAGUGUUUUAUUUUCAGUUAGAACAAAAACUAUAUAGUGUUUGAUGUAGUAGAAGGCUUCGUAGCUUCUUUGAAGUUUCCUUUGGAUUUUUAUCCGCUCUCUCUUAUUGAUUUUUGAUUGCAUCAACUUUUAUUGCUGUUCGUUAAUUGAUUGCUAGAAUGGUUGCUAGUGUGAGUGCUUAUGUGAAUACUAUAUUUGAUUAUAUAGAUUUCAUCGGAGAGUGACGAAUAUUUCUAUCACGUAUUUCCCGAGAACGAUAAUUCUUCUUCACCAACCUCACGAGGCAAGUCACUUUGAUCAUAUUAUCGCCUAUGUUUUCUAUGCAUGGUAGUUUCACCUUUCUUUACCCAAUUGCAUGCUGAGUAGGUACUUGGAAAUUAUGGUUACAUGUUGUAGUAUCAUGUGGUAGGCACCCAAUAACCCCGUUACUUGGCCCGGGAUGACAAUUUUUAUGUUGCUAUGCUUGAGUAGACUGGAUUCUGGGGGAGUGCAAUACACGAGUGAUGCGAGAAAUAUUUUAAUAACCAAUUCCGGUUAAGUCAAGAUUUUCAAGACCUCGUGAAGCAAUGAAACUUUGGGUGAAGGACGGUUGAUCGGCUCCCUGGAGAAACCAGUGAAUGACCCGGGAUGCAUGUAGACGUGCCAUGACAUCUUGCGGAAAGCUUCACCCAGGCUCGAAGAGAAGGACGGAGGCUUCAAGACCCAAGGCUUACCUACACAGCCACAAGUCAUUAUGGGCUCUGGCUUGGUUGGACAACGCGGCGACUCUGGACAGGCGGUGCUAGCAGAUGUAGAAGAACGAUAGGAUUGGAUGGCCACCGACAGGGAUUCAGAAGGACCCGUUGAAAGACCAUGUUUUGAUCAUCCGGUCUUCAAACACCCUGAAGUGCGAGGACAUACACGGAGGUGAUCAAAUCUUGUGGGGAACGUGUGCAAAACUCUGCAGAGUACUCAAAUCUAAUUGAUUAGCCGUGUCCACGGUCAUGGACAACUUGAGCCAAAGGAACUGAAGUUAUCAAGAAUUUUCAACACCAUUAUAUAUAUAUUUGAUGUGGGUAAUAUUGAUAACUUGGGUAUGAGAACUGGUUGGCGGAACCAUCUCAUUAACAACCAACUACGUAGUAUUAUUUUGCUUUUAGCCCCUCUCUUGAUGUAAGAGAAAACUUUGCUUUACGCUAAAAACUUAUAGCCCCACCUGCCAUAUAUGCAUAUAGUAUAGAUGAUAUUUUACCCCUCUCUUUUGUGACUUGCCGGCAUAUUCAAUAUGAUGACCUACAUGACUGCAACGUCUUAUGUUGCAGUUAUUUUCCUGGACGAGUAAGAGUACGAUUCAGGGUUACGGUCCGCACUCAACCUGGCGUUGGUGUUAUUUUGGACUCCACUCCCUUGACUGUUUCUGCUGAGAUAUUUAAGGUAUAUAUCAGUUUUACGCUAUUUACAUGUGAUUGUACUUUGAUAUAUACAUUGAUGUACUGUGUGUGCCAGCAUACUGAUCCAGGGAUGGCACAGAUACACGGAGGCUUGACUCGUUUUGAGUCGGGUUGCUACAGAAAUGGUAUCAGAGCACAUGUUGACUGUAGGACGUGACCCUAGAGACUGGAAACUUCUUAGGUUAGUACCUCUCAAAAAUCUUAUUUUCGAGAACACCUUUCACUUCUCAUCUCUUCUGAUUUCAUCAAAUGUUCUCUCUCACCGCAAAUAGUUAUACAAUCCCCUUACCCCUUUGACAUCAUGAAGAAUCACCGGAGUUCUACUUCAAAGUAAAGAGGAUUUCACCAUGCAUUUGAAGAAUUGAAGCUACACCAACAGAAGAAUCUCAAGACCCGAAGAACUCGAAGACCCUGAAGUGUUCCAAUAAUUAUAUGACCAUUAGAAGUCCAAACCCAUUUCAUAUACGCAUGUUAGAUACGAUGAUUUGUGAGCCGUCAUUGGUGUGUGUUUUCCGACGGCCACAAAUAAAACCUAUUCUCAAAAAUAUUAUUUGUAUUGUGUAUAUCUUCCUCCCUCUCUUAUCCGUCUCAUCCCCAAAACCUAAACCCUACCAGAUGGAGUAUGAAGCUGGACUUGUAGUCUCUGGACCAAUGACCCAGCUGGAGGCUGAAAUAUGGAUUCAGAACAUGGAGAACCACUUCGGGAGCAACUUGAUCUCAAGGAAGUAUGAAGUGGAACACGCUCUCCAGUACUUUACCCAAAGUACUGCUAUCUGGUGGAAAAUGCACCAUGCAAUACAAGGAUUCAGUGGAGCAGAACUUGGGACGAAUUCAAGAACACUCUGUUAAGAUCCCGACUUAUUCAGAACUGCUAUGAUAAUCCGAAGGAGAAGACUUGUGCAUGCAAGAUCUGUGGAGAAAUAGGACACACCCAGGAAGAACACAAGCAUGGAUGCACUCAUUGUGAAGAAAAUCACCCAGCUGAGGAGUGCCCAAGCAGUCAGGUGACUUGUUUCCUUUGUGAAGGAACCACCCACUACCCAUCUCAGUGUCACAUUUACCCCAAGGUGCAACAAGUUGUCAAGCAGGAGAAAGAUGCAAUGAAGGAAACCCUCAAGAAGAAGAUCCUAGAAGAACCUGUGAUGAUUGAAAAUAUAGAAGACCCUGAUGAACAAGGUCUGACCAGAUUUUUCUCCAAUGCAUGCUACUAAUGUGGAGAAGAAGGACAUUAUUCACAGGAUUGCACGAAGGGAAGCCAAGAGUAUAUGGGAAACUUCCCGACGGAAAAAGUGGAGUUUGAUCCACUUGAAAUAGAAGAACUGGCCAAAAUAAAGGAGUCCGGAAAGAAGAAAAAGUACCCUAGAAAGAGCCAAAUCUCUGCAGAUAAAGACCUGAGUCAUGUCAGAUGUUUCAGUUGUAUGGAAUUUGGCCACUACAAAUACAUGUGUUUAGGAAGGAAGCCGGAAACCCAAGGAGCAAAAGCAAACACUAAGAAGCCUCGAGACUUGUCAGAACUCAUUUGCUUUCGUUGCAAGGAAGCAGGACAUUAUGCUAAUGAUUGUCCACAUGGGAAGAAAGCUAGAAUGGAGUAGUUAAGUUUUGACCAUAGCAAUAAGUGUAAUCUGAAGCACUCUUGUUUUUCAUGAGAUCAUGGAGUUGAAAUUUUUGUAACCCAAGUCUCCGAGGUUGUAAUAACUCAUGAAUAAAUAAAAUUGUUGUGUCAUGAUCUCCUAUGUUGAAACUGUAAGCGUUGUUUUCUCUACGAGCAAAGAUCUCUGAACAUUUAUGAGGAUAUAAGAAAAUAUGGUCUAUGCAGGCAUGAGUAUAAUUCAUUUUAAGUGUGGUAGUAAUUGUUAAACCCACAGGAUCCACUGAGUAGGAAUGUACCAUGAUUACCAAGGAGACACAUACAUUCCUCUGAGUACCUAUUCUCUCACACCUGCAGAUGACAACCCUCUACGAGUCAUUCCUUAAGGGCCCAGAAAUGAUCAUGACCCUGACUAGUGAUCAUGAUUACCCAAAAAUCCUGAAGGACAUGAUGAAUCACAUUCAUCUUGUAGGAGACACAGUCUACAAAGGCUACCCAUUCAUGGAAAAUGGAUUGGAACUUUGGUAUGUGGAAGUACACCUCCACCAUGUGAAAGGAGUUUGUCCAAAAACUAUGGGGCAAUACUUUUUCAUUUCAAGUUUACCACGAGCAACCUUCUUUGAUGCUGUUCGUGAAGCUGCCAUGGAAGCCAUACGUCAGAUUGGAUAAAUAAUUGAAGCAAGACUCCGUCAUACCUAGGAAUACCUAAGUGAAGUGCAUGCGGAGAUGAUGGAGAUCAAGCUCAUGGCCACCAUGAUAAAGCAAAAGAUGGAUGAUUUCAAGGAGCACCUUGGAAAGUUCCUGUGGAACUAAGGAAUCUCCAAGGGAGACAAAUGAAUAAAGUUGGCAGGAAUGCUUGAUCAUACCGAACAAUGUGGAUGGCAGCAUUUGUAAUAAAGUUAUUUUUGAAUUUGGAGUUUUGAGAAGAAAUUAAGGAUGUAAUAAAGGAUUGAAUAUGAAAUGAAUAUGAUUUAUGGAUGAAGCAAUACCUUUUAUGGUAAACACAUCCAUGGAAAAAGAAAAGUAUCUCAUGGAAUGGCGUGUGAACCAAAAAUAAGUCUGAGGAUUUUUAUUAUAUGAUGGUUACCCCAAGAGUAUGAUGGAGGAAACACUAUAGGAUUUAAGGCGUAGUGAUUCCAAGUAUGCCUGCAACCCGCAGACCCCAAGACUAAUGAGUAUCAAGUACUACCUAUUUGGAGAAGGAAACUUGGAAAAAGCUAAGAUGGAUCAGCAAACGUUUUCUUAGGAGCAUACGAAAACACGAUAGAUGUUUUGUUCAGCUUGCAGAAACAAUGGAUUAUCCGAACUUCGUUCGUGGACAAGAAAAAUUCUGCAAUGCUCGUGAGGAUGCCCAAGUGUUAGAAUGCGAGAUUCGCUAAACCUUAUACAGAGAAAUGAUUUGGGUGCGGAAUGGAUUGAUCACCAUGACGACUUACUCUUAUCAUUUAUCUUGCUAUUUGGAAUGGUAAAUCUGAGGGACUUACCCACAGUGAGAGACGACGUUCUUUGAAGCUUUUGUUUAAGCCUUAGAAUGGUAUGCUGAGAGCCCCAUGUACAUGGCACUUGUUGUCACGCGUAAGAAAUUUUACGGUGAGGAUGAAACCAAGACCCCUCUCUCUGCAGGAUAACCACAAAUGGUAGACCACCAUGAGAAUCGUCGAUAGGUUAUUUAGAAUUGACCACGAGGUUGUCUGUUAAGAAGAUCCAGUAACGGAAGAAGCUUAUAUCAACAGAAGGACCCUCGUUUUAAUGGAUACAUUAUGAAUAUAACGGAAGAGCAUCACAAAAGGAGUUAGUAUGAAGACUGUGAGGAGUCAGAUGCCAAAACCCCAGAGGAUUCUUAAAGUCUUAAGGGACCAGUAAUCUUCAUUUUAAGUGUGGUAGCAUCCCACAUUGCCGGAGAUUGGAUUUGUUAAAGGACCCCCAAACCCUAACCUUUCUUUCUAACCUCUUCGAAUCUCGAGGACGAGAUUGUUUUUAAUUGUGGUAGGUUUGUAACAUCCCAAAUUUUGGAAUGUUAAUAAAACUGUUAGAUUGAUUGUUUGUUUGUUUGAGUGAUUGAAACUUGAGUGAAAUUUGAAUCUUUUCAAAAACUUUUGAAUGAGAGGGAANUGUUUGAGUGAUUGAAACUUGAGUGAAAUUUGAAUCUUUUCAAAAACUUUUGAAUGAGAGGGAAUAAAAUGACUUUCCCCUUUUUCCGGUGAAUUGAAAUUCAUCCAUUUAAAAUCAAUGAGAGGAGAUAGCAUGACUUCUUCAACUAUAAAGAAUUUGAAUGAAGGUGGCAUUUGAAUUUCUUUCGAUUUUUGUUUUGCAAUUCUACUUUUUUCUCGACUCAACAAAUGCCGGGAAUAAAUUCUUGCCAAGCAAGAAAGAGAGGAGGAACAUGACCCUCCAAGAACCAGGGGCAUUCAUUGAAAUAUUUUGAGCCAAGAAAAAACCAAAAUUUAAUUUGAGAAAAUAAUUGCAAAAAGAAAUAAUGCUUUUAGGGAUUUUCUGGAAAAAAAACAUUUUUUAAGUUUUUAUUUUGGCCGUGGAAAAAUGCCUAUCAUUUAGAUUUUAUUUUUCUGAUAAUUUUAGUAUUUAGAAACUCUAUAUUUCGAAUUUAUUUAGUUUCCCUUUUAUCGUUUACUUUCUGGUUUUUGAAAAUAGGAAAGAAAUCGCCAUUUAUUGGAAACUUUGCCCUGGCCCAUUAAAGACUUUCCAAAUCUGGCCCAACAGGACGUUCUUCUUCCUCACGUACUCCCUCUCUCCCACGAACUUCCAUAGCAAUGGAGACAGAGAACCCCCACCUUCCCGAUCUCCCUCUCCCUUCCUUCCUGGCGCCUCCCGAGCCCCCUAUAAGAACCCCCUCCUCCUCCUCGUUCAAUUUUCCCCAUCAACUCGCCUCCUCCCUGCCCGUAGCCACCUCGCCACCAUCUCCCCUUUCCCUGUCUACAUAAGCUCACAAGGAGCACGCCCACAUCGCGAGGACACCACCCUCCUCGCCUCCAGGAGCCCCUAACGCUCCUCUCCACAGCGCCGACCUCCUCCACCGUCCCCCCCCCCCUCCCCUCCGGCGACCUCCACCUCGCCGGAGCAGCCCCACCCGGCCGGAGCACCUCCAAGCCUAUCCAGCCACGGUGAGCUUCAUAGAAAUCCCGUCACAGUUUUUUUUCUUCAGAAAAAGAGCAAACUUAUAAAAUUCAUAUCUAUUAGUCUAUAACUUUGAAUUAGGUGAUUCGUUUUGCGUUAGAUCACAAUUUUCUUGUAGUUUUCGAAAACAUAUUAUUUGCCUAUUUUGAAAUUUGAAAAUUUGAAUUAGAUCAGAUUUAGUUUAAAUAUUGUUUUGCUUAUUCCAGGAGUUUAAAAAUAGCUUUUAAUUUGAUUCUUUUUUAUGAUGUUUCCUAGUGAUCAUAUCUUUCAGUAGUUUAAGUUUCAAUGUUUUUUAAAUAUUUUUACUUGGGGUUUUUACCAAAACAAAUUCUGUUUUAGUUCUUUUAGGAUUAUGGCUAUUUCUUUUUCUAUAAUUGUUUUUAAAUUAUUUUCUUUUAUAUUUCAGAAANNNNNNNNNNNNNNNNNNNNNNNNNNNNNNNNNNNNNNNNNNNNNNNNNNNNNNNNNNNNNNNNNNNNNNNNNNNNNNNNNNNNNNNNNNNNNNNNNNNNNNNNNNNNNNNNNNNNNNNNNNNNNNNNNNNNNNNNNNNNNNNNNNNNNNNNNNNNNNNNNNNNNNNNNNNNNNNNNNNNNNNNNNNNNNNNNNNNNNNNNNNNNNNNNNNNNNNNNNNNNNNNNNNNNNNNNNNNNNNNNNNNNNNNNNNNNNNNNNNNNNNNNNNNNNNNNNNNNNNNNNNNNNNNNNNNNNNNNNNNNNNNNNNNNNNNNNNNNNNNNNNNNNNNNNNNNNNNNNNNNNNNNNUUUGAUUAUAUAGAUUUCAUCACAGAGUGACGAAUAGUUCUAUCACGUAUUUCCCGAGAACGAUAAUUCUUCUUCAUCAACCUCACGAGGCAAGUCACUUUGAUCAUACUAUCGCCUAUGUUUUCUUUGCAUGGUAAUUUCACCUUUCUUUGCCCAAUUGGAUGUUGAGUAGGUACUUGGAAAUUAUGGUUACAUGUUGUAGUAUCAUGUGGUAGGCACCCAAUAACCCCGUUACUUGGCCCGGGACGACAAUUUUUCUGUUGCUAUGCUUGAGUAGACGGGAUUCUGGGGGAGUGCAAUACACGAGUGAUGCGAGAAAUAUUUUAAUAACCAAGACCGGUUAAGUCAAGAUUUUCAAGACCUCGUGAAGCAAUGCAUCUCUGGGUGAAGGACGGUUGAUCGGCUCCUUGGAGAAACCAGUGGAUGACCCGGGAUGCAUGGAGACGUGCCAUGAUAUCUUGCGGAAAGCUUCACCCAGGCUCGAAGAGAUGGACGGAGGCUGCAAGACCCAAGGCUUACCUGCGCUGUCGGGACCCCGAUCCUAAGCCAUAGGAAUCCAUCCUGUAACACAUCGCAUCGCUUUGUGGUCUCACGCACGGUUAACUCCACGGCUGCAGCCUUACCUUAGCCGGGACUGUUUGCGUCUUUUGACUCACGUAUGCGAUAGUGUCGCUAGCAAUCCAAUGUCAAAGAACCCGAAUCGACAUGUCUAGUCAUAAACCAAAGUGGCAGUACCGCACAAGGACAGGCAUACAUGACCCAACAAAGCAGGUGUCGGUCAUCAGCGAAUGUAGACGAGUCGUAGCAAGCUACAAGGACUUCAUUACAUCGCGUGACAUUUCCCCAAAGGGGACAGACACAUCAGCUAAGAAGGACACAUGCCGGUCAACCAAUGUGUCCAGAGCAGUAGCGAACUACCAAGGCUCGUUGGAUCACAAAGGGGCAUUUCCUUGUAAGGAGUGCUACUAAAGUUCACGACUAGGUAAUCGAACCCCAUACAUAUCAAGUAU